rnacentral:lncRNA from 1 species
AACUAGGUUUUUCAAGUUUAUAUUUUUCCGAAUAACGAACAUCAAUACGCUCAUACUUGAAUAUUACCCUAGAGAGUACUACGUUUCAGGCAUCAAAAGUAUGCAUAGUCUCCAAGUGCUAAAAUUAGAUUCCUUAUAUGUCUCCAACAUUAGCAACAUGGUGCAAUCUUUGAGGGCAUUCGCUUACCUCAAGCACUUCUAUUUUCGGUACAAUUAUGUGAACGGAAGCAUUGGAUCUUAUGGUAAGCCAAAGGAGCUAUAAUUCCUAGUCACAUAAAUUAUAAUACUAAUUACAAUAUGAACUCCAAUUCUCAUGCACAUUCCAUUGCUUACAUGUAUAAGACUUGAGUCAUUUAAGACGGCUUGAGGGAUUGUUCUUGGAUAAUUCUAUUGUGGAUUGGAACUUUCUACAAAGUAUUGGAGCACUAACUUCUCUCAAGAUUUUAUCUCUGUCCAAUUGCGGACUCAAUGGUACCCUUCUUGUUCAAGGUAAACGUCAACGGCUUGUUUGGUGAACAAUGUUUUUCAUAACUUGGCAUGCUGCUCUUCAAUUAUUUCUAUUUUCACAAUUUUAAAAUUUUCCUUGCAUCUCAAUCGAACUUUUGGUUAAUGAAUGCAAGGUCAUCUCACAAUUCUCUUUUUGAUUGAUUACCUCACUAUUAAAUAUAGAAAAUAAUUUGUGAAAAAUAAAAAUGAACCAGAACAUUUGUUUUGUAUCAAAAGAAGUAUUUAACUUUGUCAAUUAGGACUUCAUAAUUAAUAUAAUUUAAAGAGGUUCGGCUAACCUUAUAUAGUUAAAAGUAAUAAAAUUUUUACAAUCUAUAGCUUUUUUAUAGGUGAGAGUGGAAAUAAGUUAAUAGUUGCAUUCAAAAUAAUUAACUUAUUUCUGUCUCACCAAUAAAAAAAUUUAAUUUUAAAAAGGGAAACUUUCUCACUUGAAAGUAAGUCCAGAGUUGAAAAAAAUUGCUUUCUUUUAUAAGCAGAGCCUUUAUAUUCCCUAUUUCAUUGGUGGGUUUUGAAGUAGUAUUUGUAUUCGUUUGAUUUGCAGGAUUGUGUGAACUUAAAAAACUCCAAGAGUUAGAUCUUCGUUGGAAUGAGUAUGAAGGAAUACUUCCUUCAUGUGUUGCAAACAUGACAUCUCUUAGAGUAGUUGAACUCUCACACAAUACAUUCACCGGAAAUAUUGCCUCCCCUCCACUUUCGAAACUCACAUCACUUGAAUAUCUCUCCAUUUCAAGUAACAACUUUCAAGUUCCAAUUUCAUUCAAGGCAUUCUUUAAUCAUUCAAACUUUAAGUUUUUAUUUUUGGACAAUAAUGAAAUAAUAGAUGACAAUGAGUUGGGAAAUUGGGUUCCCAAUUUUCAACUAGAGGCUUCUAGUAUGUCGAAUUCAAGAGGUCCUCCAUCGUUACCCCACUUCCUUUACUAUCAAUCCAAUUUGAGAUUUCUUGAUCUCUCAAAUAACAGCAUAGGACCGAAUUUUCCAACUUGGUUGCUGGAGAACAACACAAGACUUUGGGGACUAAACCUGAGGGAUAAUGUUUUUAUAGGACCUCUCAAGUUGCCAACAAGCACCAAUCCCAACAUGGAGAGUUUUGAUGUAUCUAAUAACAAGUUCAAUGGACAUGUUCCAACUAAUAUAACUUCAAUUUUUCCAAACUUGGUUGCGUUAAACAUAUCAACAAAUAUGUUUGACGGUUGUGUACCUAGUUUCAGUGACUUGAAAUCUAUAGAAUAUAUAGACUUGUCCAGCAAUAAUUUAUCAGGCACAAUACCACAGGAAGUAGUGAUGGGAUGCUUUUCUUUGUAUUUUCUCAAAUUUUCGGAUAAUAAAUUGCAAGGACAAAUAUUUCCAGAAUCUAUCAACCUACAAUACUUGAGAUAUUUAUAUCUGGACAGUAAUGAGUUCUCAGGCACCAUUCCGAAGAGCUUGUCUACCAUGGAUCUUUCAACGUUAGACAUUAGUAACAAUUGUUUGUCGGGCAGAAUUCCUACAUCAGUGGGUAAUAUGACAGCAUUGAGGGAAAUUUCUCUUUCUAACAACCAACUCGAGGGUCCAAUUCCGGAGGAAAUUUGCAAUCUCGAUCUUUACCUCUUAGAUUUAUCUGAGAACAAGUUAUGUGGUUCAGUCCCAUCUUGCUUCAAUCCAUCACGGAUGGAUCAUGUCUAUCUGAAUAAUAAUCAAUUGGAGGGUGAGCUCCCAUAUGCAUUUCAUAAUUGCUCUUAUUUGGAGUUAUUGGACCUUAGACAUAAUAAGUUCAUUGGAGGUAUCCCUCAUUGGAUUGGCAAUCUAUCAAUGUUGAGUAUUAUUCUUCUCGGAGGUAACCACUUUGAAGGCACAAUCCCUUACCAAUUUUGUGAGAUGGACCAACUAAGCAUGAUAGACCUUUCCUUUAAUUUUCUUUCGGGUCAAAUCCCGCCUUGCUUCGGUAACAUCACCAUGAAGAAUUCUGGAGUGUUUGAAAGAUCAAUCUAUAUGUACAAUGGAAAAAUUGUGUCUUUCUUAUAUAAGGUUAUGUUAGAAAGGCCCUCUCACAUAACUUUCGGAAGAAGUCAGUAUUUCUCCGAAAUUUUUGGCAAGCUUGGUUUCACGCCAAUUAGAGCGACAUUCAUGACAAAGAGAAAUUAUUAUACUUACAAAGGUCGCAUCCUCAAUUACAUGUCAGGAAUUGAUCUCUCUUCUAAUAAAUUACAUGGUGAAAUUCCGGAUGGCCUUGGAAAUUUAAGUGAGAUCCACUCACUCAACUUGUCGCACAACUAUCUUAUUGGAACAAUUCCAGAAACAUUCUCAAACCUACGUCAGAUUGAGAGCUUAGAUCUCUCCUAUAACAACUUAGGUGGGAGGAUCCCUACCGGUUUGAUCAAGUUAAACAAUUUGGCAGUCUUCAGUGUGGCGCACAACAAUUUAACAGGUACGAUACCAGAGAAAUUUCAGUUUGGGACUUUUGAUGAAGGUAGUUAUCAGGGAAAUCCUUAUCUUUGUGGCCAUCCAUUACGUGUCAACUGUACUAGCACCGGACCAACACCUGUCUUGCCAUUUGCUGAUGAUGAAAGUGAGGAGCGCGGUUUUAUGGACAUGGAGUUCUUCUAUAUAAGCUUCAUCUUAUCUUAUUUAUGUGUAGUGAUUUGCAUUGCUACAGUUCUAUCCAUAAAUUCUCACUGGAGAAAAGCAUGGUUUCAUUUCAUCGAGGUUUAUAUAAUCCAUUUUUGAGGCCGUGUGUUCUAGACAGGAUUCCCAUUUUCCAAAUCAAGGUAUCUGCUUUAAUUCUGUAUGAAGAUCAUCAUAUACUAUACUAACUUUUAUAACUAGUAUAGAUUUACAAUCUAUCUAAUCAAUUAUGUCAUUUUUCCUUCUAGAUUUGAUAAUUCGAAAGUAACGAAGCAGUGAAGGCAAUUAUAACAGCAUGGUAGGAAGCAAAGAUGGCCAUGUGUGUAUGCAAAGUGGCCAUGUGUGUAUAUUCAAUCAUAGAAGUAUGAAAUAAUUUUGAAUUCCGUACUUGUAUUAAUACAUGGAAAGGUGAUUUGUUUCCCAGCUAAAUAUUUUUGUUUGAGCAAAAAAGAUAAAAAAAUAAAAUAAAAAAUAAGGAGCAACAUGGCAUUUGAUUUCUAAAAGAUUUAUAUUUGAGCUUCUUCAUUUAUUCUUUUUCCCUAGUCCAUACAUAGAAUUUGCGCAUUAACUUUGAGUCACAUUUUGUCGAAGAGAGAGUUCGCAACCUAUUAUUCAGAAUUCAGUUUUUUGUUCUUGUUAUCAAAAGUGAUUGUACCUUGGAAGGAUCAUUUUUGGACUUUUCAUCUAUGGAUGCAAACUUUGCCUGGGCGUGGACUCAACGGCACCCUUUCCAAUUAGGUAAAUUUCUCACCUUCCAAUGAGUUUAACUUUGACAUAUAUAAGUUUCUCGCUUUGUUUGUGUAUGUUUUUCUUCAAUUAUUUUUGUUACCUGAUUUGAAUUUCACUAUUUCUAUUCUAUUCAAUUGAACUUUUUCUUAUUUUUUUUACAAAGAAAUUAAAAAAAAAAAGGUGUGAUUAAUGCUAAGUGGUCGUUCUUUUCAUAUAUAUAUAUAUUUUCAUACUAGAAGCAUGCAUAUAUAUAUUUAAAAUUGAAAUUAUUAAAGGGAAAAAUAAUUCUUUAGCUGACACAUUAACUAGAUAAUUUGCAAUUACAGGUAAAAAUGACAAACAUUGAAGAUCAGAUUGAUGAUCUGGAAAUGUAAAUUGAGAUGGAAGAAAUUGAAAUCUCAACGAAGUAGCAAAAGGUAAAAGUUCUACCUAAACCUGAACAAGGAACUAAUUUCCAAGAAUCAACAAGUUAUAAUCCGAAAGGAGAUGGAAAAAGGAUUGAAGGGGAUAACAUUCCUAGACCUAAUCCUAAAAAUGAAUAUUCAGAUCAGAAUCUUUUACAAUCUGAAGAUAUACCAAAAAAAAGUAACCUGCAAGUUACAAUUCUAGACUUAGGUUGUACUCUAGAACCUGACAAACUUAUUGAUGCAUGGUAUAGCCAUAUUAUGGUAGCCAUGAUAACCAAUAAGGAAAUUAUUAAAAGUGAAGCUAAUUCAUGGAAUUAUGUUUUAGACUUCUCCAUUCAUGCAUUGUCUUUUCAUUGACACAUUCACGUUGUCCUUCAAUUGGUUUAUUUAGAAUAACCUCUGGGAUGGUUUUGAUCUGAAUAUGGUGAUAUCCCUUAAUCAGGAGUCCUUCUUUAUUCCAGAAUGGAAUUGUACUGCAUAUAUAGAUAUACCAAAAGAGGUAGUUAUGACUAGAUUUAUUAAGAAAACCAUAAGAAAAUAAUUGUUCACGUUACCAGCAAAUUUAAAAUAAUAUGGAAGGACAAACAAAAAUGAAUCCGAGCGUCAAUUUGUAUUGGAAGGAAAGCUAACUUCAUUAAUAAAAAUUUUAUAAUCAAUCCCAAUUUUCCUUAUCUUUGUUUGGUUCGUUAAUAAUUAAUUUAACAGGGUGUUGUCAACUUAAUAAAUUGGAGGAGCUCGAUUGGAGUAGAAAUAUCUAUGUAGAAUUACUUCCAUCAUGUCUAGAGAACAUGACAUCUCUUCCGAAUGAUCAAGGCCUCAAGGAAUAAGUUCUGUGGAGAUAUUGAUGUGUCUUUGCUGUCGAAACUUACACCAGUCAAACAAUUCCAUUUCAAAUAAAAUUCACAUGCCCAUUUUCUUUGAGGCUUUAUUUACUCCCUCAAGUCUUUGUUUCAUAUUUGCCAAAGAAAAUGAAGUAAUAGCAAGUAUUGUGUUAUGAAAAUGGGUCCCUAACUUCCAACAAGAAGUUUUCAGUUGGUUAAAUUGCCAUCUAACUCUACCUCAUUUUUUGGGAAUUCUUGAUCUCUCACGUCACAACUUGGGGAGAAAUUAGCCAAUUCGUUAAAGAACAACACUAGACUCAAAGGAGCCUACUUUAGAGAUAAUGCUUUUAGGGGAACUCUCAAGUUGCCAGCAAGUACCAAUCUCAAUAUGGAGACUUUUGAUAUUUCUAAUAAUAAAUUUAUUGGACAUAUUCCAACUAAUAUAAGUGUAAUAAUUCCAAAUUUAAUUCCAAUAAACAUGUCCAAAAUAUGCUUAAUCGUUGUGUAAAUGUUAUGUCAAAGGUCCAAUCGAUUUCAUACAUAAACACUUUCAAUACGAUUAAAUUAAAUUAAUUACUUUCAUACAUAAACACUUUCAAUAUUUUCCAUAUAUUUAUGGAAAAUAUAUCAUUUAAUUGAAUUAUUAUUCUGAUAAAUUAAAUUAAUAAAGUUCAUAGAUUUAAAUUUUGAUAACGUGUUAAUCAGAAUGAGUUGUGACCGUGAAAACAAAUUACAUAUGACUGAAUUUAAAAUUAUACAUAGUAGUAAAUAAUAACAAGAAACGAAUAUCGAUACUAUGGAUAAACCAACACGUUUGGCAUUUCUCACUUAUGCUGUGAGUAGCUAAUAUUUAAAUGGAUAUGUGGAUAUUUUAUUAAGAGAUUUCACGUGGAUAACCAUUCGAGAAUCGGUGGUUAAUCUCCAAUGUUCAAUAGUGUAAUAGGUCCUUAGACUUGAUGUCAUUAUAGUGACUUAUAUGAAGACAGUCAUAUUUUGGUGGUGUCGGUCAUCCUGAAUCACCCUAAUGUAUCCAAAAUGUGACCUGCAUCGAUGAUAGAUGCUGACUAAAUAUCAGAUCUACCACCAAGGCUGACUAUGAGUCACUAAUAAUUAUUAUCCAAAAUAAGAUAAUUAUCAAUAAGAAAUAAUGCAAUGGCCCAAAAUAAUUAUUUCAUGCUUUAUUAAAAUGACUCAUAUCACUCAACCCCUGUUUAGCCUCCAUUAAAACUCAUCAAUUUAAUUUAAAUUUUUUUCUCUCUUAUUUUCAACCACAUAAUGUUCAAUAAAAUAAUUACAUGCAAAUCGAAAAUUUUUCAUUCUUUUGCAACCAUUCAUUUUUCAGAGGAAUACCAUUCCCCCAUUAUAAAUCCAAAUAAUGGGGCCAAACAAAGGCUCAAUAUGCCAUCUAGCUUUAACUCCGAAAUCAUCGGGCUCCUUAAGCCAUCAAGAACCAAUUGCUACUUAUAAGAAAAAUCAUGGGAAAAUAUAUAAGCUAAUAGCUUAGCGAGUGAAAUUUUUGAAAUAUUUAUACUUUCUCAUUUGUACAUAUUUAUCGAAACUCGAGUUCAUGUCAUUUAAUAAUUCAUAGAAUAACUUCAUAUAGUUAUAGCCAAAAAAUGAGAUAUUCUCAUAAUUUUGCAAAAUAUCAUCUCAUCCCAUCACAUGUAAUCCACCAAAAAAUGUACUAUUUGACUGAAAUUUGUAAUCCGCUCCUCGGGCCAAGCGCUUUCGCCAUGAGCCUUUGGCCUCUUUCCUGAAUGAAAAAGCGGAUUUCAAAGAUCAAUUCUAGAACACAAUCAAGGCCCUUCUAUAAACUGUAUGUAAACAGUCAAGACCUGUGUAAGAUAGAAUAUGGCCAAGGCUCCUCUGUGAACUAAAAAAAGUAUAUAAUCAUGGGUACUCUUCUAGUCGAUCUUGAUAUCACAUGUAUCACCUUCCAGUUCACAAUUAAUCCAUAUACAAUCUUUGAAUUCCAUAUAUAUCACAGUGGAAGAACAUUUCCGUAUCAAUAAUGUAACUAAACAAAUAAUUCACAUAAUCACACGUAAUAUAAUAGUAUAAGUACUUCAUAAAUAUUUGAAAAUAUAUAAGUUUUUCCACUCAACAAUUUGUAGAUCGAUCGUGACUUCAAAAUUCUCAUCACCUCCUCACGUUCAAAUACCAAAGCACUCGUCCCAAGAUAUCAUACCUCCUCACUAAAGUGCUUUGAGCAUUUUUCCUACCAUUAGAAAUAGAAAUAAUAAUUUACUAAUAAGAACUUGGAGUCUUAUUAUCAGUGUAAUGUCAUAAUACCAAUUAGAGUCACUAAUAACAUAUCCACCUUUAUAUAAGUUAUUUCAACAGCUAAUUCCCAGUAUUUAACGCUUAAUUUGGUUCUCAUACUAAAAAUCCAAGAAAAUCAAAAUAUUAUCAAAACCAGCACUGUAUUUCAAGACUAUUGAAAUGUGGCACCAAAUUCUGUAUAUUGGAAAGUAUCACCGAAACCAUUAAUAGAAAUAGCACUUUCUGGAAAUCAAAAUAUUAUGAAAACCAGCACUUCUUUUUUCUCUCUUUCUUUCCUUUUCUUCUCCCGUUUUUCCCUUUCUUGAUUUCUUUCUCCUUCUAGUUUCUUCCUUUGUAAAAUGAACCCCUUUCCUUUUAUUUUAAAAGAUUAAUACAAUGUAAAUGAAAAUCAAAUCCUUAGUCUUCUUACAAUAUAACUUUUAGCCCUUAGUAAUAGAGAACUAAGUCCAUUAAUUCCUAUUUUAUUUUAUCUCUAGCCCUUUUCAUGUAUUAGUAAUUAAAAAUUAAGUCCCAUGAAAUUAUUUGUUCAACUUAAAUCCUUAUUUUGACCGACUUUGACCCAUUGAAUUUUUUCCUCGACUUUGAUUAAAUAAUUUGUUGACUUUGACCAUAAUGAGUGGGGUGUAACAUUGGAUGUUGCUUUACCAGGAGUCACCAAUAUGACAUCGUUUAGGUAUGUUAAAAAUCAUAUAAAUGUUGUGAAUGAUCAAUAGAGAAUUCGAUACUCUUAGAUAGUAAGAGAUUAUAUUUAUGUUCCAUUCAGUUAAGUUGAUAUCGAAAUAAUUGUCCAAGGUAAGUAUGUAAGUUGAAAAGAGUUUCGAUUAUCAUUGUUUUAAGAGUUGAAUAAAAGAUAUGAUCUAUAGUCGACAUUCGCAAACUUUCAUAUCUCACAAUUGAUCGAAUCACAUAGGCAAAGGGAUUAUAAUCUAAUGGUAAACCGACAAAUUUGAUUUUUUUUGUACCAUGUGAUAUUUUCAUCACGUGUAAUGCCCUUACAUAUUGUGGAACAAUGACUAUGAAUUAAUUAAGCUAGAAAAAUUAAUGAUAAAUUAAAAAGAAGUUUAUUUUUUCUUAUUUUAAUUAUAUCAAAAUAAUAAUUCAUGUCAUUCGAUAUCAUGAUCAGAACUCCUUAGAAUUCCACAUAAAAGGGAGAACUAGUAGAAUGAUAUUAUAAAUUAAAUAAUUGAAAAGUGUUGGACAUUUAUAAAAUUAAUUAUUUGGAUUGUUUAUUAAUGGAUAUGGACUUCAGUUAAUUGAUUAGAUUAAUUAACUCAUAGAACAAGUUUAACUAAAUAGAUUAAUUAAAUAUGUGGAAAUUACGCCACCCACCUUAUUUGUAGUAAAUAUUUAAAAAAUACUAUGUUAUCUUUUAUUUCAAUAAAUGAUGUAUUUUGUUAAUAAAAUGAACACAUUGAAGAUUUCUAAAUUAAAAGAAUAUUAAAUUAGGUAAAAUAUUUUACUCAUUUAAACACGCCUUUACAUCUAAUACAUUUUGAUUUCUAUAAACAUGCUCGUGUCAAAUGGUGUGAUUAGCCCAAAUGUGUUCAUUCCGUUUAUUACAACUACGUUUGCGUGAUCUCUGCUUGCGAUACAAUAACAGGGAUGACUGUAUUAUACAUAUUAGCUGAAAAUUAUUCGAAAUCAAAUAUCAUAUAAUCGUAUCAGGCUAAAUGGAUGUAUAAUGUCUACUACAUAUCUGAAACAUGCACAUGGUGUUGGUCAAUAUGCAGGAGAAUUUCCAUGGUAAAUUUGCAACAUAUCAGAAAUUAAAACAUAUGUCAAUACAUUCUAGUAUCAGGGAUUUCGAACCAUGUAUUCGAAUUUUAUAGAUUUCACGAGUUGUGUAUACCCAGACAUGAAAAAAUAUCGCAAGAACAAUGUAUGACACUCAAACUCUAAAAUCUUUCACCAAACUUGCACAAUGUUUAGAAUAAUUUCUAGGCAAUCAUUUUUUUUUUCUCUCUUCUAUCAAUUCAACGAAAGUUUGUGUAUAUAAACAAAUCCCUAAAAAAAAUUCCAAAUGUACAAAUGGCAUAUAAACUAGGUGAAAAACAUAUCCCAAAUUUGAGAUAUUUUCGUAAAUAUACUGAUUCAGAGUGUGAAAUAUCUCCCUGGAGAUAGAGAUUUUCGGUUGUAGAUACGGCAAUUUCUAUGAUCCUGUCGAGUGUAGCAAUCACGGUGUGGUCAAACAACGAAAGCCUUUCUUCUUCUUCAAUCAAAUCAGAUUUUUGAAGUGUUUUUCUUUUUAGGAAGAGGUGUUUAAUGGGAGGCACGAAGGAUGGAGUAUUAAAACAUUUCAGUUACAAGAUAGUAUUUUCAGUAUUAUUUAGUUGAUUUUUUUUUUUUUUUUUUUUGGGUUCUAAUUUUGGAAAAUGGUAAUUUUUAAUAUAUUUCAUAAUCAAGAUAGUUUUUUGGUGUUUUAAACGUUACCUAGUAAAACCUGAAAUAAUAUUUUCAAAUGAUGCAUUUACAAAUUUUUUGGAUUAAAUAUUUGACUAGCUUAUGUUUAAUGGUGGGUAAACUACAUAAAAAUAUAUUUAUAAUUACCAGAAAGAGAAAUCAAAAUCUCUUAUGUUUGUUCUCCUGUGCGGCUUAUCAUCAGAGGCUAGACAAUUAGACAAAUGUGGUAUGAAAAGAUCGUGACUCACAAAGGGGUACAAAGAUAUCAAUUGUUUAUUAUCAAAAUUCUCAAAGGGGUUAGAAGGCCUUGCUAUAUGUAAAAUUCUAAUCAUGAUAUCUAUCUACAUAAAAAGAAGAUCCUUGAAGGGAACUAAAAUUAUUUUUAAAUUUCAUUGUGCAUGUAUAAGUAAAUUUCUAACUAUACCAUAUAUUGACGGAGACUUGAAAUCUUUAGUAUCAACCUUGAUACUUUUGGCCUCUUAGAUAUAUCAUAGAACAAUUUAUCUGGCUCAGUCCUGUCUUGCUUCAAUAAAUCAAGCAUAAGUUUGGUCUAUCUUAACAAUAACCACUUGGAAGGUGCUCUUACCCAUGGAUUAUUUAACAAUUCUUUUUGGUGACAAUGGAUCUUAGAGAGAAUAAAUUCAUAGGAAGUAUCCCUCAAUGGAUUGGCAAUCUAGCAAUCUUGAGCAUUAUUCUACUUGGAGGCAAUCAUUUUGAAGGCAUAAUUCCUUACCAAUUAUACCAAAUAAGGGUUAGCAAGUAGACCUAUCUUAUAAUAGCCUCAAUGGUUAGAUGCCACACUAUUUGGGUAACAUAACACUAGAGGUAAACGAGAUAAUGUAUAUCAUGGUUCGGGAGAUACCUUUUCCUCAGUAGUCACAUUCAGGUCAUUGUUGGGUUGGUGCCUCUUCAGCGUUAACAAUGGAUUUGGAGGAAGGCAAUUUUGAGUUUACCUCAUUUUCAUCUCUCUCUAGAGAAUAUAGAUAAUGGUGGAUGCCUUGGCAAAAACUUGGGGGACAACUAUCAAGUGAAAAUGGUAAUGUUUCGAAUUGAAUCUUUCUACAUUGUAGAAAGAAGCCGCGUACUUCCUUCCCUUAUGAGUAAAGGAAAACCAUAAUAAAGUUUGGUUAUAAAAAACGAAGAGGAUUGAAUGAAAGCCCAAUACAUGAUGGGAUGCCUCUUUCAAAAAAAAAAAAAGAAAGAAAAAAAAAAAAGACAACCUGGAUUAGAUUGAGUUCUAAAGGGCCUGCCAUGUGUCUCUCCAAAAAGUAGAAGAAUUCGGAUUCAAGGAUGGGCAAAUUACGGUAACAUUACAACAAAGAAAAAUUUGUAUUCUUACAAGGGUAGUAUCCUCAACCACACAUCAAGAAUUGAUCUUUCUUCUAAUUAUAAAUUAUAUGGUGAAGUUUUAGAUGAACAUGGAGAGUUAAGGGAGAUUUGUGAACUAAACUUGUCCCACAACAAUCUUAGUGGGACAAUUCCAUCAACAUUCUCAAAUCUACGUCAAUUCAAUAGUUUGGAUAUCUCCUAUAACAACUAAUGAUGGACAAUCCCCACUGGCUUGAUCAAGUUAAACUCCUUAGAUGACUUUAGUUUGGUGUGUAAUAGUUGGAAACAAAAGACAUCUCUCAAUUUAAGUUUUCCAUUCAAAUAUAAUUGAUAAAUGUAUAUAAUGAGAGUCCUAUGCGAUGGGGUCUGAAGUUGAGGACAUGUUACACUACAAAAGAGUUUAAAUUCACGAGCUUCAACAAACCUAAAAGGUAGCUCAUCUAGUAUUACCAUCUUAGCACAUGCAACUUUGACCUCUUCCUUACUAUGACCAAUAGCUAUAAGAUUGCUCCCAUUACCCUCUUUUCGAUUCUCAAAAGAUAUGAUGUUUUGCUUCUUGUCUUGCAAUAGACCAGAAUACUUCUUACAAUUAUUCAUGAAGUGGGUACCCAAAGUGCUUGUGCCAUACUUAUAGCCACAAGCAUAAUCUACUCCACACUAGUUACACUUACGCCUAACAUUUGGAUCAUCCCUUGGACCCAAUAAUGCAAAGAAAUCACAGACACAUGAAGCUAUUCCAUGAAAUUUUCACUUUCCUAAUGUUGAUAGUGGAUGUGGAGGAAGACUUGAUAGCAUAUAUGUGUCAUAUAAUUGAGCUGGCAUGUCAUUUUCUUCACACAUAUUGAUAUCAACCAACAUAUUCCACCAAAAAGUACUAAUCAAACAAAUAAAACUACAAAAGUAUUAAUGCACCAUAAGAAAGCAAGAAUAUUGCACCCGUGUCCAUUUUACUUGAGGCUUUUGCAAAUAACAACAAAACACGUUAACUUGCAUUAGUAUUACCAUGAGAAAAAAAAGAUUAUUAUUACCACCAUGAAAUAAACUGAAUUUAAAGAAUAUGUGCUUUACAAACUUCAAUAGACGUGUGGUUGGAAGCUCCAAACUAUACAAAAGAAUAAUAGUCACAAUGCACAAACACUGAUAAUAACAUUUAUCAUAUUCGUGCACUUCCAAUUGCAAUCUCGUAUCUACUCAUAAUGUACUGCAAGUGCAUUAUUUUGCAUUAAACCAUUCUCAUGGUAUUCAUAUUUACAUCUUCCAUAUUCGUUAGGCAUAUUGCAAUCUAGAACAAAUCGCAUUUUUUGCGAUGAUAAAAUAAGAAGAUAAACACCAGACUUAUGGAACAUUAUUUAUUUAUUUUUUACAAAUUUUUUGGGAUUCAUUCAUAGCAUCAUCUUGCCGAUAAUUUUUAGUUUAUCAUCAAAUAACUUUGCAUUUGUACAUAGUAUUCCUGCAACUAACCAUGUCUAGAAAAAAGGAACAAUUAUACAUUUUAAGCCAUUCUUUUGUCUCCAGUAAUGUAUCUAUUUAGUCUAACAUCAAUUAAUUUCACAAGGUAUUCUAACUAUAAUUAAAAUGUAAUCAACUUCAUAAUGAUAUAAUGUUGCUAACCAAUUAAUAUCAGUUACUAUCUUUGUUAGAUAUUAUUAAUCAACUUUCUUAAACAACAACAACAACAAAAUGAACAAAUUAAACCAAAGUGAGCUAAAUGAAUAUACAACAGUUUUUAAUUUUAUUUUUUUUCCCCAAACAACUAAGAACCCCCGAAAGCAAAACACAGAACCCAAAUAUUAAUUCAAUUAUUCAGAAUUUUGACGUCCAAACUAAUGUAAAACUGGAAUGGACAAAUGAAUUAAUAAAAUAUAGAAUUGUUUCCGGCUGUCGGUGAGUAAUUGUUAUACGGAUUUAAUGAUAUAAACAAUAACCAGGUUACCUCUAGUGAUCAAUUGAAUAUUCUCUCGGUAGAUGCAUUUUUUAAAAUCAAAUUUCAAGGGAUAUAUAAUAUAUUCUAAAGAAUGGGAUUGCCAACUAUACAGGAAAAAAAUCAAUACCAUAUGCUUACUCCAUACAAUUCCUUCAAGUUGGAUAAUUAAACAACAACUUUAAUUUUAAGUUCAGCAAACCUUGUAAUUGGGAAUCUUGUCCUUCAAUUCAAGCAUUUAGCACAAAAAUCACGUCAAAAAAGUGAGACGAGAGACUGAGGCACGAGCAGAAGCGAGAGAAUAUGAGAGGUGGAAGAGACGAGAGGCACAGAAGAAAAUUGAAAACUGAAUGGUUUGAAAUUGAUUUUUAGGUUUUUAAGUACUAUUUUUCUGUAAUAUUUUUUUAUUUAUUGGGUUGGGUUGGGUUGGGUUGGGUUGGAUUGAGUAAAUUUUAACGAAUAAACCCAAGACAUGAACUGACUAAUCUAAAAUUGAACUCCCAAAAUUUAUGAAUUUUUUCUAAAUGCUUUAUUAAUUCUUAUAAUUGUUCAUAUGCACUCUAGUUAAUUCUCAAUUGUUCCGAAUAAACUCUAUUUAAGAUUCAAAAGAUCAUUUUCAUGCCAAUUGUAUUCAAGUUGGAUUUUUUUCUACAAUUAUUAUAGAAAAUUAGAGUGCAUUUGGUUCGUCGCUAAUAAUUAGGGCGGGAUUAUUUGAUCCUGCCUAAAAUCCUGCCUUUGUUUGCGUGUUAAUUAAUGAGUAUUUCAAUGACCAAAUUGAACUUGGUCAGUGGAGCUAUAUCCUGCAACAACCACUUUGUUGUCGUUGAUAGCCUGGGGAAAAAACCCCGCUUUUUUUCAGUUUGUGAAUGGUGGGUUGCAGUGAUCACAACAAACUUGGUAGUAAUUAUGCUUUUGUAGUUACUGUUGUAUGUUUAUUGUUAAUUUCUUUAAUUUAGUUAUUUUCUCUUAUGCAUUCUUUAUUAUAUUAAUUAAUUGAAAAACUAUUAAUAAGUUAUAGCAAAUAACAUGUGGUUGCUCGAAGUUUACCUAAACUAUUAAUCAAAAUAUUAGCAGACCAAAUAUUGGUUGUUAAUUGUGUUUUACUGAAUUAAUAUGUAGCAACUAGAUUUUGGCCAGUAAAUGCCUUCUGCCCGGUGACAGGUAUUAUUUUUUAUCAACUAUUCUUCAAAGACCAAUAUAUGGUCGUUGUUAGUAUAUCUUCGCCAACCAAAUAUUAUUUGUUGAAAUAUGGUAAUUUUUAAUUACUAAUGCUUUUACCGACCAACACUUGAUUGCAAAAGGAUGCAAAUUAACCAAAUUUUUACCCUAAACCGAGCAUGUUACUGACCACUGUUUUGGUCAUUGAAUAUAUACAAUUCAGUGACCACUUGUCAUUGGUCACCAAAGACAUCCACUGACUAUGAAUUAGGGACCAUAAUAUUUUGGUAACGGUCUUUGGUGACCAAAAUAUUGCCUUUACCUUCCGAUUUUAUUCGUUCCCAGAGAUUUUAUUUUUUGUAGGAUCUUAGAGAAUAAAUUCAUAGUAUCCCUCAAUGGAUUGGCUACCUAUCGAGCUUAAGCAUUAUUCUACUUGGGGGCAACAAUUUUGAAGGCAUAAUUCCUUACCAACUAUGCCGAAUGAGGAUUCGUAUGAUAGGCACACUUUAUAAUAGCCUCAGUGGUCAGUCACUGCACUAUUUGAGUAACAUAACACUAGAGGUAAAUGAGAUGAAGUCUGCAAUGGUUCAAGGAGGUACCUUUUCUUCGGUCGUCAUACUUAGGUCGUACAUGGAUAGGAUUGAGUAUGAAAGGGCUUAUCAUGUUUCUCUACAAAAAGUAGAAGAAUUCGGAUUCACAGUUGGGCAAAUUAAAAUAUUAUAACAAAGAAAAAAUUGUAUUCUUCUGUUAAUCAAUGACUAAUGAUUUUUCAUGCAAAAUGAUAACGUUCUUUCACAUAGCAUUAGUGACUGAUGGUAUGAAUUACAGGUUUUGCUUCAAAUUAAAAACUUGUUUAUAUCCUUCAGCGACAUCACAUGAAGAAGGAAACAAUGAACCACAAGGCAUGGAUUGAAAGUUUCGCAAUAAGAAAAAACAAUAGACCAUAAUUCAUGAAAUAGCUAUGAGUUUUAAGGUUUUGCUUCUCAUGUCAUCAUUCCAAAAGGCAUGGAUAGAGAGUCAGAAAAAACAUUUACCACUCUUAAAAUGGACAAUGAAAGUCUUCUCAUGUUUGAAAAAUGUUGUAGUUGUAGAAAAAUGGAGUCCUUGAUUAAAUGUGCAGCUAAUUCUCACCAAAGUUGUGCUUCUCAUCAAAGUUGUAUUCUUAGUCCUCAAUAGCUUCAUCUUCUUCAUUAUAAUUAUUCUCUAUUAACAAUGGGGUUAUGGGUUGUACAACGAAGUUAGUAACUUUACCAUAUAAUUGGUACAUAAAAUGCAACUUAUGGGGUGACCAGGUUGGUGGAAUAGGUGAGCACAGAGACCUUUAGUCAUGAGUUCGAUUCUCUUUAUCAACUCUUUUCCAGUCAAGCCUGUCGCACCGGGCUUGCCUAGUGCUAUUUAUUUGGUUGGCAUGAUUUGCAAACUAUUGCAUUAGCCCGAGGGUUUAUCUAGUGCACACCUAAAGGAUGGCGACUGCGAGUUCCCCCGUUAUAAAAAAAAAUGCAGAACGUAUUUGUUUCAUUAAGAAAUAUCUACAUCAAUUUCCUAAGUUUAACCCUGACGGAUAGUUUAGUGGUCAAUCCUUGGGUUUGUUCUCCAACGAUCACCAGUUCGAGUCUCCUCAGGACCAUUGAGAUGAAUACUUGACUAUAAACUUUAGAGCCCCGUGAGAUUAGUCGAAAUGUGCGUAAGCUGGCCCGAAUUCCCACGGUCAUAAAAAAAAAGUUGGUGCAUGAAAUCAUGUCAAGACUGCAAUGUAGAAUCGAACUAUUGCUCAACAAUCUUCAGCUUUUUAUACGUUCACCGCCUAUUACCUUAGCAUAGCCAAAUUAUUAGUAUUUUUAUUCCAUAUUCUAAAGCAUAUAACAAUCAUACAAACCAAUAUCAUCAUCUUCUUCCAACUUACAUAAUGAAAAAUAGUGCAUGAGGCUUCCAACCUGAGUCAAGGAAACCAAUGGAACAACACUAGUAUGCCAUAGCUCAAAAUUUAGUGUCUUCCUUGUCCCCGUAAUAAAUCAAUUUAAAAUAGUAAAAAUUCACCAUUCAAAGAUCACAAGAAAUAUGAAUCAAGAGUCUUUACCAUGAAUCCAUAAAGUAUUCACUUUUACUUAAACAAUUCUACGCAAAUAUAAAAUACUAGAGUAGGAAAAUAGAUAUUAACCAGAAUGAUCCUGCAUUUCUUUUAACAGUUUCAUCUCUUCAUACUAGAGUCCCAAUUUCAACUUUUGUACAGUGGAACCCAUGUAUCUACGAUAUUCCUUUCUUACUUCAACCCCCCAAAACACUUUGAAAUGACCCAUCUUCGCAUCGACCAAUCAAUCAAAAUUACAUCAUCUUUUUUAUUCAAAAAUCACACCAUUUGUCAAAUAGGCAAAUUCACACUCUUGUUGAAUGAAAUCAAAAGGCAAAGAAAGGAAUUGCAUAGUUAUUAGGAGGGACAAAAAAAAUAGAGCCAAGACAAAUAUUCAAAAAAUCUAGAAGCAAAAGAGGAACUAUUAUAUAUCCACACAAAAUCAAACUCGUACAAAUCAAAGAAAGAGUCAGAUUAUAUUAAAUUAAGGAAAUGAAAAAUAGACAAACUUGUUGCAUAUGUAGGAAUGCUAAAUUCACCAAUGGCCAUUGAACUUUAUACUUAGUAUCAUAAUGACCAUCCAUUUUGAUUUUGUUACGACCACUCAACUUUUUUAUUUAGUAUCACCAUGGGCAUCUAAUUUUAUUUUAUUUCUCCAUGGUUCACUAUAAUCACCCAAUAUCAUAUAACAUUUCACCAUGGUCACCCAACUUCUUUUCAACAUAUUUAGUAAUUUUUAAAAUGGGUAAAAUUGUAAUUUUGCAUUAUAUAUGUAAGAUAAAUUUUAAAUAAACGUUUUUUAAAAUAAGUUUUUAUUUCAUUCUAAAAUAAAAUUUUUAAAUAAGUUUUUAUUUUAUUUAUUUUUAUUUUUUAUGGAACUUUUUUUAAAAUAACAUUUUAUUUUAAUUCAAUUUUCUAGAUAACAUUUUUUAAAAUAAGUUUUUAUUUUAUUUCCAAAACCAUUUUUGAGCUUUCUAAUAUGAGCUUUUAUUUUAUUUUAUUUUUUAAGGAACAUUGUUUUAUAGUAAUAUUUUUAUUUUAUUUGUCUAAGUAACAUUUUUUCAACUUUUUAUUUUAUUUUAUUUUAAAAACCUUUUUUAAAUAAGUUUUUGUUUUAUUUUAAAAAAAUUAUUUAAUUUUUUAAUUUUUUAGGGAAUAGUUUUUUAAAAAAAUAACUUUUUUUUUAUUUUUCACAAUAACUUUUUUUUAAAAUAUGCUUUAUUUUAUUUUAGAAACAUUUCUUUUAAAAUAAGUUUUUAUUUUAAAAAUGUUUAAAAGAUUAAAGAAGACAGGUGUUUUAGAUUAUCGGACCUUUGAUGUUUUCCCCAAUAAAAUGAAUCAAUGCUUGGACGUGCUCUUGGAUCUUCAAAAGGAUGAUAAUAAUAUGUUUUCUAAGAGUGGUACAAUGAACAGCCAUACCAAAAUUCGUGCUACAGGUUGAGUAUUUAUAUUUGAAGAUGUUUUAGUGGUAUUGGCCGAGUAAAACAAUUGAAAAUGCUAAUUUGGGGUUUUGCAGCAUAAGAAUGUCACUUGAGCGAGGAUCUAGCAAAAAUUGAGUAAGAGCCAUUCUGUUUUUUUCGCUCGAGCAAAAAGUAAGCAAUAGCUAAGCUGUCGUCAAUGUUUUCACCAUAAUUUUCUCUCCUAAUGUCCAAUUGAGGUGAUUCAACUUGUGUUGGAAAGCUAACUCAAAUGUCUAAUUCUUCUAGCUUAUCCAAAUGCCAAUGUUUUUUUAUGUGAAAAAUGCAUUGCAAGUUACCACUGAGAAUUUGGAACAUAAUUUAUGCGGCUAUUUGAUAACCUUUAGACUUCUAAUUGCAUUCCGAUAGUCAUAUGUGAUCUUUUUAGACAUCUUGGACUCCUUCAAUGAUUCGAACACUAAUUUACCUCAUCUAUUCAAAAUUGCAAUUAAGUCCUUGAAUUUUACAAGUGAUCAAUUAAGUCCCUUUUGUUUACAAAAUUGCCAAUUACAAUAUUGGACCUAACACACUCAAACCGGGGACCUCGCUGCUUGUUUGGUGCUCGAACGACGGAGGCAUCCUUCGCUAGGUGUGGGGUCAAAGCUCAACCAGUGGUGCGACAUAAAGGGGUUUGAUUCGCAGUUUAAAGCUGUUUUUUAAUCAUAUUCAACCUCUGACACUACCCAUUAUAAAUAUACACGCCAUAAUUCGUCUCAUGGUGUGAUUGAAUAUUAUUUUCAUUAUAGAGAUCAUCAUUUGAAGAUCAAUUACACAUACUCAAAGAUUUGUUUAAUCAACCCUAAGAUCAUUGAUUCAUAUAUUUAUCCAAAAUAUAUUUUUAUUGGUUGAGCCUUAAUUUUAUCAAGAGAAUAUUCGUUGAAGAUCAAAUUCAUAUCCUUACAUCUCUUACCUAAGCCACAGAUUGAAACAAAAAAGAUCUAAUGAUCAAACACCAAAAAAAAAAAAUCUUAUCUUCACCUGUAAGCCUUCAUAAUUCUGAAAUUUUGAGAAGAAAUGCUUAGAGUUCUUGCACUCCAAAAUGAGUUUUUUACUUGGUGAUCAAGUAGAGAGAAAUUAGUCCUAAGUUUUCAAAAGUGCAGGUUGCACAAUCAAAGAGGUUGUUUAGUGAUUUACAAGUUAAUGGUUAGAGUCAACUAAAGUUUAGUAGCAUUUGGACCAUUCGUAAGUUAACUUUUCUGGUGGAUCUGUUUGGCCAGGUUUUCCCUAAAGUUUUUGAUCCUUGUGAAGUCUUCAAGGGGUUUUCCUCUAGCAUCAAUUUGUAGCGUUAUUCACUUUUACUACUUUAAUCUAGAGAUUAUUGUUUGAUUAGGAUUUAAUUAGAUUAAUAACCUUAAAAAUAUAGAACCAAUAAAUAGUAAGUUGUUACUUUUCAUUGUUGAUUGCUUUAAUUCCUCAUAUUUGGUCUAAAUAUUUUCAACAAUGUAUAGAUGGCCUCUGUAUUAACGAAAACCUCAGUGAAAUUUCUGAUAAAAUCCUUCUAGAAGUCAAUGCACUAAAUCCAUGAGUCCACAUGACAGAAGAAUGAAUUAUUGGACAAAUGUCACAAAGCAUAAACAUCAACAAGCUUUGAAAAUUUGAUGUAAUUAUAUUUGAACAUCGUGAUGAGGGAAUGUUAACUUAUAAAAAUUGACUAAAAGCUCCUAAAAUGCCUAUUAUAAAGGUAUUGAACAAAGGAAAAAGUGUUGAAAAACCUAUAUCCAAACUUACAAUUUCAAAACGAAUCUGCCAUAGGUUGAAACAGUAUCUUGGGUCGGACCUAUCUAAAAUUAGGACACAAUCUUCAAUCGAGAAGCAUUUUCUGACAAAACAACGCUGAAAUCUCAAUCUUUCACUUUUUAAACAGAAAAAUUGGUUUCCAAGCUCCACGCAAAAUUUGGAAGGAAAAACUAUAGCUGGCUUUAAAUAAUAAUUUCUACCUUUCAGGUCUUGUUUCCAUUACAAAAAAUCCGAUAUUAUUUUUAUUUUAUUCACAUAUAAGGUUUUUUUGUCUUAAAAAAUAUUUUUAAAUAUAUUUUCACUAUAUUUGGGUUGCAAUGAGUUCUCAGGCACCACUCCAAGUGUUAGACAUUAGUAACAACCUUUUAUAUGGUGGAAUUCACAACGUCAGUGGGUAAUAUAACAAUGUUGAGGCAAGUUGCCCGUUUAGUAACCAGCAUGAUUGUCUAAUCGUAGUGGAAAUUAUCAACCUAGAUUAUAUUUGCCUCUUAGGUUUAUUAGAGAACAAUUUAUCUUGCUCAAUCUCGUCCUACUUCGAUACAUCAAGCAUAAUUUAUGUCUAUCUUAACAAUAACCAAUUGCAAGUGAGCUUACACAUGAACUGUUUAACAGUUCUUUUCUAGAGAUAAUGGAUCUUAGAAAGAAUAAAUUCAUAGGAAGUACCACUCAAUGGAUUGGCAAUCUAUCGAGCUUGAGAAUUAUUCUAGUUGUAGGUAUCAUUUUGAAGGCAUAAUUCUUAACCAGCUAUACCCAAUGAGGCCUCGCAUGAUAGACAUAUAUUAUAAUGGCCUUUGUAAUCAAAUCCCACACUAUUUGGGUAACAUAACACUAUGGGUAAACGAGAUGAAGUCUACGAAGUUUCAAGGAGAUACCUUUGCUUCAAUAGUCACGUUCAGGUCAUACAUGGAUAGGAUUGAGUUUGAAAGGAUCCACCGUGUAUCUCUUGAAAAGUAGAAGAAUUUGAAUUCACUGAUGGGCAGAUUACAACAACGUUACCACUAAGAAAACUUUGUAAUCUUACAAGGGUAAUUUCCUCGACCAAAUGUCAGAAAUUGUUCUCUCUUCCAAUAAAUUAUAUGGUGAUAUUUUAGAGGAACUUGGAUAGUUAAGGGAGAUCCGCUCACAAAACUUGUCCCACAAUAAUCUUAGUGGAAGAAUUCCAACGACAUUCUCAAAUCUACCUCAAGUCAAGAGUUUGAAUAUCCCUUAUAACGACUUAGGAGGGACAAUAUCCAUCAGAUUGAUCAAAGUUUAAAUCUUUGGAAGACUUUAGUGUGGCAUUAUUUUAAUUUAAUGAUUAAUAGAGAAGAAUUAGUGAUUUUAAUGGGUAUUGAAAAAUUAUAAUAUAUAAAAUAAAUGAUUAAUCGAUCAAAAAUGAUGUUUAGACCCAACCACUGCUAGAGGUCUAUAAUGUGGAAUAACCAAUAAAAACCAACCUGCCAUUAAUUAUUAUUUCUAGAUGAUUAAGAUUAAUGUCAAGUUAAAUCCUAUGGGUCAAUCAUGCAAUAUAGAUCAAAAGCAUAAAUUAAAGUAAACAAUACCAGAAUUGUUAAUGAAUGAAAACCCUUUGAAUAACUCUUCACAGAGAUCAAAAACCUACAGGCAAACCUUGCCAAAAAGAUUCACUAGAAAAGAUAACUUGUAGUUGGUCUGACACAACUAAAUCGUAGCAGACUUUGACCACCAACCUGUGAGUCACCAAAGAAUCUCUUCAACUGUGUAACCUUCAGUUUUCAGAACUUUGGACUUCUUUUUCCUCUGUGAGAUCACCAAGAACAAACACAUUCCUGAACAACUUGAACUACAACUAUCUCUUCCAUACUUCAGAAAUCUGAAUGUUUAUUGGUGAAAGGCAUGUUUGGUGUUUGAUCUUGAGGUUGAGUUAAGAUAAUUAUGAAAUAUAUUAUUGAUCUUCAUAGAAUGUUCUCUUGUAUGAAAUAAUUGUUCAACACACUUUUGGGAUUGGCUAAUGAUUUAGUGUAUAUAAUGCGAAGUGUUUGAGGAAUGUGAUUGUAAAAUUAUCAAAAUAGCGAAUAGGACUCUACCAAAAUGACACUCCCACUCGAGCGGUGGUUGAGCAGAAAGUGACCAGUCACAUGGCCACUUGAGGGGAGCGGCGAAGUACUGAAUAAGAUGCUCGAGUGACCAACGCGCGUAUGGUGAGCGAUUUUGUGGCUACUUUUUCUCCUCGGUUCAUCUUCGACUCUUUCAAGACAUAUACUAUGAAACCCCAAUUUUUUACUUUAAUUAUAACUCAAUUAACUAUAAUUUUUGAUAUGGUAAUAGCCAAUAAUAUGGGACCUAACAGUAUGGAUUAGAAUCUUGACGUAGAUCAAAUCUACAAACACACGAUGGUAGAAACUCGAACUGAUUGAACUCAAGAAAACCAAGGUUUUUCUUAUUUCGUGAAUAAUCAAAAAUCUAGGAGGCAUUUUAGAGCCUUAAAUAUGAAAAGAACAAAUAACCUAUUGGGCCAAUAAUCUCUUAAUGGGCUGGGCUAUAAAGGGAAAAUAACAAAUACUGAAAAUAAUAAACUAAGAAAUUUGAAAUGCUGUUUUGACCUAGUAAUUGAAUUCAAUUAGCCAAAAUCCAUCAUAUAUCACAGGAAAGCAGUGAGUUCAUCUUGAAUCAUCGCGAGCUUUCCGAAAUAGGGUUAUGGGCCCAAAACGGACACCGUAUGCGAAAGUUAUGUCAAUUUCUUCGAACGUCAACCAUCCAAGCGUUCCAUGUACUCAAGUACAUGUUCCUCCACACGAACCUCAUCAAAUCUUUAAUUGGUGGUAUGACUAGUAGUGUCUUUUCUAAUACAAGGGAUGCAUAUUAAAUAGUCAAGAUUUUUCAGAUAGUGUGCAACUAUCAAAAAAUGUGCAUAAUUAAAAGUCAAGACUUUUUGAUAGAGAGUGAUCUAGACUACUGGAUCAUGAUACAAAUUGAAAAAGAGUUAUUUAAUUAUCAAGAUUAAUACAUACCAAAAUGUGCAUCUUCAUAAAAUACAUAGUAAAUCUAUAAAUUUCAUUCAAUUUUAGUUGCUUCAAAUUUCAAGUAAUUGAUCUUUAAUUCCUUCUUUCUCCGAACUCUUUUAAAAUAAUUCUUAAUUAUUUUUCAGUUCUUUUUUGAUAGUUUGUACCAUAUAUCAUCUGAUCUAGAAGAGUAUAGUCAAACUUUGGUUCGACCGAUAAAAUUAAUAUUAUGAUAUAUUGAUUUUGAUAAAAAGAAUUGUAUCUUGUGUGAUAUACAUCCAUUUGAUCAUGUUAGCAUCAGUAUAUGGGCAAAAUAUUUUUCAAGGAGAUUUGUAAUCAUAUACCUUCAUUUUUUCUCCUUCGAAUUCUUGCAUAUUCUCAUGUGCAUAUCUUGGUUUCAAUAAGUCAAAACUAUAUCCAAUACUUUGCACAGCAAUACAUGCACGUAUUUAAAUAUGCACCAAUUUGUUCAACAAUCUUAAGACUAAUGCUUGUGCAUUCUAUAUUCUAAUUUUCUAUUUAGAAUCUGAAAUAUUUUUCAAAUGGAUUCUGGGUAUGACUCUAUUAUUUUCCUUAUGUUGAAGUCUAUUUCUGCAUGAAUCAAUGUUCAAAUUCUGUUUAGAUACGAUAUUUUAAUAUGGCAUCCCGUUUUCUAAAUUGAUCAAAAUUUGAAAUUCUGUGAUCAUAUUUCAUUUUUGUAUUCAUAUUAAAAUUCAUGUUGCAAUAACUAAAACUUUAUGAAGAAAUUAAAUUUGCAUUCUAAGUACAAAAGAAUUGUUCACAUAUUACAUGCAUAUUUGACAAUAAGUCAGGGAAAAUUCGUUGGUUCGAUUCUUGAUGGAUGCACUUGGAAGGUUAAUUUAAAUUGUAGCUUUUAGAAACAUUCUGCUUUUGCUCCAGAGCAAGUUAUGUGAGCAAUGUUUACCGUAUAAAUAGUCAAAUGUAUGUAGAUCCGAAACUUCAAGUUUAUGCAUGGAUUCUUUCAAGUCAUUCAGUUUGUGGAGACUUUGCUUUUUAAUGUAAUAUGCUUGGGCCUAAGGAUUUCGUUAUCAACUCUUUGCAUGUAUGUACUUUGUUAACUAUUGCAUGGUGGUUGUAGUGGAAGGAUAUUGCUUUCAGUACGUUAAGGUUAAUUGAUCAUUAAGUUGUUUUGUGGAAAGUACUGCACUGGUGUACAAACAUUGUACAGAUAAUAGGCUUUGCACUGCACAUAUGCCAAGAGUUUUGCUGUGUGUAUAGCAUUUUGUACACUAAUUUUGACAUCUCUUUCACAUGGGUAACAAUUGUUUUGUGGAAAGUACUGCACUUGUGUACAUUGUACAGGUAAGAGGCUUUGCACUGCACAUAUGCCUAGAGUUUUGUUACGUGCAUGGUACUUUUGUACACUAAUUUUGACAUUUCUCUCACAUGGAUUACAAAAGUGUCAUACACAGCAAAAUUCGUAUGGCAAUCAAUCGUGUCAUCCUCCUGCUCAUCAAAAAGCAGCAUUCACUAACAUUGACAUAGGGAAGGCUACUGGGCUCAAUGGCUCAAGCCGCCCUUAGCGUUGUCUGAAAAAGCCUGAGCCAGCCUCGUUUUAGGCCUGAGCCCCAUUUUGGAGUGUGUGGCUGAGCUCGAGCCAGCCCACGGGCUUGUGCUCAUGGGCGUUUGGGGAAAGAAAAAAAAAAAAAAAAAAAAGGUUGAGGCAAAUGUGUAUAGUUAGCCAAUGACUAAUGGCUUUCUUGCAAACUGAUAACAUUCUUUCGCACAGCAUUAGUGACGAAUGUAUAAAUGACAUAUGUUGCUCCAAAUUUAAAACUUGUUUAUAUCCUUCAACGGCAUCAUAUGAAAGAGGAAAUAAUGAAGCACAAGGCAUGGAUAGAAAGUUUUGCCAUAAGAGGAAACAAUAAACCUGUGAGGCAGAUUACUUAACUACAUGACACAUGUUGAUUGGACUAGAAUGCUUGAUGAUGAUUGUUCUAGUUUAGAAAAUUUGGACUCUAUAUUAGUUCAGUGGCUGAAUUUACUUUUGUGGUCAAUUUCUCCCGUACUAGACUUGCCUCGUUAACUCUUUAUCAUGGUAUAAUGCAAUUCUCUUCAUUUGGUUCAUUUGUAUUUGGGAAACGAGAGAGAAUAAAAAGUAACUAAGGCCCAAGACUUGUUCUCUGGCAAGAAUUCUUCGCUACCUCGAUGGUGAAAUUGAAGAAGAAUUGACUCGAUUUUGUAAGCUGUAAGAGUUUGUUUUUCGUAUUAUAGUUGUAGCAAUCAUUGAUACCAGGGGCGGAAACAUUUGAGUUAGAGGAUGCAAUCAAACCAUGUACAAAUCGAUUAUUUUGUUCUUGGAUAUUUAAUUAUUCAUUCUUGACUUGGAAAAGGCAGAUUUACCUUUAGAAACCAUUUAUUCAUUAAUAUUUUGGUCAUCACAAGAAAAUACAUGUAUACUGACAUUUAAAGAAUUCAUAGUGUAUUUGAUACAAAUAAUCAAUUAAAACAAUUAAUUCAAGUAAUUGAAAUUAAAAACAUAUAACCAGAAUGAAGGAAACACAAUUGGACAUAAUCAUUUCAGAUACUUUUUAUAUACACAAUUUGAUAGUAGAAAAUGCAAAUUCAAGUUCUAAUUUGUUGAAAAUUGGAAAGGGGGUGAAGAUUUGUAGUAGAUGUGAUAAUUGGUAGUGAAAUUAAUUACAAAUUUUUAAAAAUGAAAGUAUCAAGGUUUUGGUAAAAAGCGUGAGGGAGAGAGUUGCGAGAGAGUAAGAGAAAAGGGAGAAAAUUCAAAUUUAUUGUGAUUUUGCCCCUAUUUGGUGGGAAUUAAAAUCAGGUUUUUAAUAGAUUUGUAAAAAAAAUUUAAAAGUUGCAGGUCCCAUGAAAUAUGUUAUUAAAAUUAAUUAUUACCUUUGAUUUUGAUUAAAAUAUAGAUUUCAAUCUAUACAGAACUUUAUCAAAAAUAAAAAAUAAAUAAAAAAAAUCCAAAGGUUGGUGGUCACAUGACCCCAGGAUUCUGUGUUUGCUAGUGAUUGUUACUCUAGAUUACAAUUCUUUAGAACCAUAUUUCACAAAAUGGAUAUAAGUUUUGCAUCUCAUGUCGUUAUACAAGAAGGUUGUGAUAGAAAGUAGAAAUAAACGUUUACUACUCUUAAAAUGGACAAAUGAAAGUCUUCUCGUGGUGGGAGAAGUUGUAGAUGUAGACAAGUGUAGUUCUUGAUAAGUGGGGAGGAUAGUGGAAAUUUCUUCGAUGUUCAAAACUUUUCUAAAUGUGGUCCACGAGCCACUCAUUACUGAGAAAAAAUUGUUUGGAAUGUAAUUUUUUUUUCAACAGUCAAUCAACCAAUUUUUUUAUUGUAAAAGAUCUAGGAUUUAAAUAUCUUAUUAUUAGUGCAUUAACUAUGCAUUACUUGAGCAUUAUUGUUAACAGUUCUAACGAAGAAAAAGAAAAAAAACUAUUUGUGCACUUUAUGUUUAUAGUUAUAAAAUAUAUGUACAGUGAUAAACUGGAAAAAAAAUUGUUGUAAAUGCUCAUCCCAAAUUGGUAGUGGUAGCCACAAGGGUAGUUAGUUGCUCCUUGUCAUGGGAUUGGGUACUUAAAUGGCAAUUAUUCUUUCCAGUUAGUGUGUUUUCUAAUUGUGUUUUUCAGAUGAACAAAGAGUUUAUUUUCUCGAUUUCCCUUUUCCCUGAUUAUUGUGUUCAAGGAAGAUGCAAUAACAUUUUUUUUUUCUUUUUCAUUUUUUAUUUUUUGAAAUAUUGCAUUAAUGGCCAUGCAAGGCAAGGUAUACUUUUUAAUUUUCUUUUUGCUAGUCCUAGCCCCCCCCUAUAGAACAGGUCUUGUGAGGUGGAAGAACAGAGUAUAUAGCUAAUUGAACUAGUGAUGCUUUGGAUUUUGACGUGACCCAUCUUAGUGUUCAUUUUUAUGAUGCAAUCCAGCCAUUCUGAGAAGCUUCCUCGGAGAAUACCAUAUUGCCACCCAUGCUACAUCGUGAGAAACAGUCGAUGACUGAUGAACCUUCCCAAACGUGUUUGUUAUCUUCUCAAUUAAUUCCUCAACAUUGAGCUUACUGUUUUAGGCGCCGUAUUUUCAAUAUUUGGGAAAAUGAUGCUAACUAAAAUGAGUAGACUUUGGGAAAAUGAUGCAAACUAAAAUGAGAAACUAAGAAAUAUAUGGUAGAAUUCAUUUCGUCAAUAUUUAAUCUUAAUUUCUUCUGCAAAAUAAUAAAUAAUACUAAUAAAGAAAAAAAAGAAGAAGAAGAAAUCAACACAUCUUAUUUGCUAACUAGAAUUCAAAGGAAAACUCCCGAUGUUUGGACAAUAUUUUUAUCUCACUGGAAAAGUCAUAAAAUGAAUAGUAGUGUUUCUCGUCAAUCCAUUGUACAUCAAGUUUCCGCUUUAAAAAGGGAUACUCCCAAAGUGGAAAAUCAAUAUAAGAGAUUUUUGCAACUUCAGUGUGUUCAUAAUUGAGAAAGAUGAGAAUAAAUUUAUGGGUAAUGUUAGUGAUGACGGUGCUUUCAUUACUAAAUGGAUGGUAUUGUUUAGGGGGUUGAGAGGAAGAGAGGGUUGCUCUUGUACACCUCAAAGAAAAUAUGAACUUUCCAGAUGGAGAAUCGCUACCUUCAUGGGUCGUUAAUGAGAUCGGAACUGACUGUUGUCAAUGCUAAGGGGUUGAAUGUAGCAACCCAACUCGGCCAGUAAUCCAACUUAAUCUUCCUUAAUGCUAGGGAUUGGAAAUUAGGAGAUUGAUAUUUUAAUCCCUCUUUAUUUUUUCCCUUUCAAGAGUUCAGAAAAUCUCUGUUUGAGUAGGAACCGAUUGGAUGGUUGGAUUGAGAAUGAAGGUUGUCCCCCACCCUGGACGAGAAGCAGAGUUGCUAUACAAAAUGGAUCGCUGCAACUAAUUCAGCUAAAAUAAGAGAAUGCCAGAACCUUCCCUUCUCUUGCUUCCAAAAUUCUGUGGUUCAACUUGCCAUCUAGGUGGGCUUGACAUGGAUGCUAACAUUGUUGACCAUUAAGCUGCAGUUGAGCUUCAUUUUCUAACAAUUUUGGCUACUCAAAUUAAUAAGAUUUGAAAUCCUUGAUUUUCAGUGGUAAUUAUAUCAAUGACACCUGAUAAUUGAGUAAUCCAUUGAUAAUUGAGUUAUCUAUAGAAUUCAGUGGUAAUCUAUCAAUAUUGAGUAAGCUUUUUAUGUUUAAACACCUAAUUUUCAAGUUUUAAUGUAUUAAUGAAUAAUCUCCUUUCAAUAUUUUGAAAUAUCUGUAUCAGUAACUUUUUUGUAGUUCCCUAAUUUACUUCACUGUAUUUGGACAGAUUUGACCGAUUUCUGUAAUUUCAAGAAUUUGGAUAUAAGUAUAAAUUAAUACCAAAGCUUGGGUACCAUUUACGGUGGAUCUUCCAUCUCUGGCUGAGUCAGAAGAUCAUAGUUGAUCACAAGAGACACUUGUUGGACAUCAAUACCACAGGCCAACAAAUCAGUGGCGAUAAGAAAACGUGAAGAACAAAAUGUAUGGAUAUAUGUGGCAGAAAGUAUGAUCACGACCUCGUAUUUUGUCAGUGAGCCAGUCAACCUUACGCCUGGUGUUAACAAAGAUGACACACUGUGUGAUGGCCAAGGUCUCGUAAAGAUCACAGAGGGUUUCAAGCUUCCAUUCCUCCUUUUCGACAUUAACAUGGAAUUGCUUGAUACCCUCGAGGGUCAGCUCAUCACGUUUCACAAGAAUUUGCACAGGCUUGUUCAUAAACUUUCUUGUGAUCUCAAGAGCCUGUGGAGGCAUUGUAGCAGAGAAUACACCAACUUGAAUCUUAGGUGGCAGAAGCUGAAAAGUAUCAUAUAUCUGAAAAGAAUAGAACACUGAAUUAGAAACCUCAUAAUGCAUUUGACAGCGCAUAAUUGAAAUCAUGUAUCAAGUAAACUGCAGCUAAAAAUAUUAUUCAGAGAACAGCAAACACAUGAAAAAUCACAUAAACAAAACAGAAAACAACUUGAGGUAGAUUUUCUGUUUAAUGUCUAUAUUAAGCAAACAACAGAUACUCAUAUGAGCUUCAAACGUGUGUAGAAGUAAUGAAAACAAGCUGAAAUAAAUACACCAAAAUGCAAAUAUAUGGAGAAUAAAAAAAUUCAACUGCCACCUACAUUAAAAUGACACAAAAAUAAAAACAAAAGGAAACUCACCUGAUCCUUGAACCCUCUUGAAAACAUUUCAUCUGCUUCAUCCAGCACAAACAUUUUAAUGUAAUCAGGUAAAAGAGACUGCCUUCGCAACAUGUCAAACACACGACCAGGGGUACUAACCACAUCAUGAACCCCACUAGAAAGAAUACGCUGAUCUUCACGAACACUGGUUCUUCCCACGCAAGCAUGAACCUUCACACCAAGAUAAUCACCUAGUGCUCGCAUGACUUUCUCAAUUUGCUGUGCAAGAUCACGGGUUGGUGCAAGAACCAAAGCCUGGCAUUCAACAGUUCCAUAGUCUAGCUGCUGGAGAAUUCCAGAGCAAAAGGUAGCAGUUCUGCCAGUUCCAGAUUGUGACUGUUGAAUUACAUCAAAUCCUUUGCAGAACGGUACAAUCCCUCUUUGCUGAAUUGCAGAGGGCUUCUCGAAACCUUAAAUACAAUAGAGAAAACCUUAAGCUCCGUUAAUUUCCAAAUAGAAAGAAUAAAAGGAAAACAAAAUUAGCAAAGCAUAAGAUUGAAAAGAAGUAAAAUCCAACAGUUGCAAGUGUUUACAUUCAUAUAUCAUUAAAUUAAGUAGACAUAUGAAAAAAAUAGGCAAAUCAACUUCAUCGUUUGAAGCUAAAGAUGUAGAAGACAAACAAUUCAGAGACACUUAAUAAAGUAGGACAUGAAAUAGAAAAAUAACUCGAUAGACAUGUUCUCAAAUUAGAAAAUAUUUUCUCAUUCUAGUUCUUGGGAAGAAGAGAAUAAAUAUUGUGCAGAAAAAUAUGCAGCAUGACAUAAAACAAUUGUCCCAAUCUACCAUAAGCAUAGAUGCCCCUCAGAAGAUUUUCUUGUACGCCCAUAGCAUCAAAGCUUUCAUACACCUCAUCAUAACUUGUGAAAAAUUCCUCUCUGCCAUCUCUUCCGAGUCUGCAAUCAUUAAUUCAGAAAAUCAAACAAGUGUACUAUGAUCACCAUCACUAUUGAAAAAUGAAAUAAAUGAAUUCUAUGAUCAUAGGCAGGAAGAGUACACUAAUAAACAAAUCAUACCACGUUUCCAGCCAUGACUGUGGAAAGUGAACGAAAUAAUACCAUAGCAACAGGUAAUUCACUAGUCACUAAUAGUUUGAUAGGGAAUCAUCAAAAAAUCAAAUUGGAAAACCCUAGAAAGCAUGCCACAUAAGAUAAGGUGCCUAAAAGAAAGAAUGUAGAAUAGAAAACCAUCUAGUAACUGACCUAAGCAAACAAUGGAAAUUUUUAUAUCGAAUAGCCAUGGAUUGAAACUCAAAUGGCAUUAUUGAAACACUAUCCAAUUUCACAAAAGCAACCAUUGAUAACACAUUGUCAUGAAGACAAAAUGCAAAUAGGUCGAGAAAUAUGCAAAAACAACACAUUUUGCGAUUCCGGCUACUGUAGGACAAAAUGACAGCAAACCAUUCAAAAUGUAACAGUACCAUUGGCAGAACAGUAAGAGUUGGACAAAAAUGGCAUGUACCAUCUGAACUUCCUACUUCUACAUAGUUAUUGAGGUGUUACAUAAUUGGCCUUCACAGAAAUAAACUAUAUUAAAAAUCCAACCUGGAUAAUUACAAAUUCACUCAAACUGAUAUUUUGUUCACAUCAUAUAAUUACAUUCCUUCAAUAGUAUAUAACACACAAAAACAUCCGAGUUCAAAUCCACUUUCACACUUCUAUAAGAUAAUCAAUUAAUGAAAUAAACAAAAUUCGAUUCGCACAACCCCAAGAAUUUAGAAAAUGUAACCACUAUUGCUAUGAAAAUCUUAAACUACAAACGUUAAACAAGACUCGAAAACACAUUUCAAAUCAAUACGAAACAAAGAAAACCUUUCAAAACCAUAUUUGUUUAUUCAAUAAAACAAAUAUAUCCAUAUAAACAACCUCGUUAAACAAAAGAAUAACCAGAACUCUUUAAUCCCGAAUAUAUCAUCAAACAGUCAAGGCAUCUUCAUAAAUUUAUUUAUACAAUAACAAACACGAAAAUUAUGCAUGAAAUUGGAUAUAUGUUACCUGAUUGCAGCAAAAAGAGAAGGGAAGAGGGUUUUAUUUCAUUCGUGCCAUGAAGUGAAGAUAGGAAAAGAGAAGGGAAGAGAAACGGUCUCAGUCUGGGAUUGGGAAGUAGGAAGUUUUGAAGUCACUUUCACGUAUGUUUAGUUGCGUAACUGGAAAUUGGGAUUGAGUUAUGUGCUACAGGAUGGUAAUUAAGUAAACUGGGUAGGUAAGUAGAGAAAAAAAAUCCAAACUCCACAUGUCCCAUGUGGGUCCGCCACUGUUUCGCAAAGCAUUGGUAACAAAGGUCUAAAUGACAUGUUUUGCUCCAAAUUAAAACAUUGUUCCUAUCUUUCAAUGACAUCAUAUGAAAGAGGAAACAGUGAAUCACAAGGCAUGGAUUGAAAGUUUUCUCGUAUGGGAAAACAAUGAACUAUGAGGUGGAUUAUUUAACCACAUGGCUCAUGUUAACUGGACUAGAAAGUUUGUGAGGAUUUUGCUAGUGUAGGAGAAUUGUGAACCAUAGAUUAAAUUCUAUUCUUUGGUUAGAUUUAGUUUUGUGACCAAUUUAUCUAUAUUAGACUUUUCUCUUUAUUAUUAUAUAAUUUCGAAUUUCGAAUUCAUAUGUCUUGAUCUUUUAAUUAUAACUGUUUUCACUUGGAUUCAUUUAGACUUAGCAAACAAGAGAGAAGAAAGAGUAACUAAAGGGUGAGACUUGUUCUCCGUCAAGAGUUCUUGACCACCUCUGACAAUUUUUUUGGUUAUCUAUUGCUAUUCCCUUGUAUGAAGAUGAUGCUUUGAUCCGCUGUGAAUAAAAUAUGAGCUUAAUAUUGUUAGAUUUUAUAGUUUUUGGAAGUCGAUGAACAAAAACAUACUUGUAAAAAUUUUUAAAAAGUCAAAGAGUCAAAUGGUAGGUUACAUUAAUGAGUUAGAAGUCGUUGGGGUUGUCUAUGUAACAAAGGAAAAGUUGUAAAAUUUUCGCUAGCCAACUGCCAAGUUGUUGCUCAAGCAUCCAAAACAUUAAGCUCUUCGCUAGCUUGUCACCUACUGUUGCUCGCCUAUAGCUGAGCUCUCGCUCGAGUGACAGUGUAUCUUGAGAAUCCCUAUUUGCAUUUUUCAAGAUUUUUAACAUGCCCAUACUACUCAUAACCUCCAAAACUAUAAGUACAUGUGCCUCACUUCAAAAAGUAACGAGUUGAACAUUAAGAGAAACUUGAAAUCACUUUCUUCACUUCACAUAAACUGUUCAAUCCUUGCUGGAGCCAUAUUAUUGAAAAACAUAAAUCCCCACAAACAAAACACCAAAACACUUACUUCCAUUGAAUCUGAUAGAGUUUUGAAGAUCAAGAAAGUGGACUGAAGUUUUGGUUGUUGGAAAACAAGGAGUUCUUGGAUGAUUCACUGGAGAUAGACGAAUUCAGAAAGUUGAGAGUUGAUCAGGAGCAUGCAAUCCAGGAAGGAUUUGGUGACUACAGUCAGGAAGUCAGAAGGAACUAGAUUUAGUCGAGUCUUGCAGUAUUGUAAGUUGAUUUGCUUAUAGUGGAUUCAACUAGCUUGGGCUCGGAGUUUUAAUCUCGUGAGGGGUUUUCUCCGUCAACAAUUCUCCUAUAUUAUUUACUUUUCUUCAACUUAUUAAACUGCAUAAUUUAACAUAGAAUAGUAUGCAUGUGAAUUCAUCUUAAUUGAUAAAUAAUUGCGACGUGUUGCAUUUGUUAGUUAGUAUAUAAAUUUUGCAUAAACACCUAUUCUCCCCUAGUGUUUAGUAUCAAAGCCUAAGUUCGAUUUCUGACCCCAAUUUAAUCUAGACGAGUCAAUCUUUUUCUGUACCUCCAUUUUUCAAUAGUAAUAACUAUGCAUACUAGAAGGUUAGAAUUAUAGCCCUUUUAAAGUCUCUAAAUGAGAACAUUUGCGUUAGUGUACAAAAUGGUGGACCGCCCCUUCUACUAUUGUGUUAAGUGCAGUUAACCUAUGGACAUUUCACUUUGGACUAGUUCAACUGGAAUAGAAAAGGAAGAGUUUAAGAGAGUGUUGAUGUGUGAAACAGUGAAAGAGGUUUGGGAUAUUUUAGAGACCACAAAUGAAGGAACCAUAACUGUGAAAAAAAACUCCAAAUUGUAAAUGUAGACAUAUAUGUUUGAAGAGAUUAGAAUGAAGGAUAAUGAAUCAUUUGAUGAAUUCUAUGCAAAGUUAAAUGAUAUAGUGAAUUCUAGCUUCAACCUAGGUGAGAAAAUUCCUAAGUCUAAAAUUAUGCCAAAGGUCCUUAGAUCUUUACCUAAAAGAUUUAGACCCAAGAUUGCUGCAAUUGAAGAAAGCAAGGAAUUAGACAAAGUAAAGAUAAAGGAACUUGCAGGAUCCCUUCAAAUCUAUGAACUCACCAUAUCUCAGUCGAAGAAAAAUAAGUCUAUAGGCUUGAUCAUCAUUAAGAAAAAAGAGUAUGAAUCAACUGAUAGAAAAAACCCUUAGGGACGAUGAGAUAGCUUACUUUGUCAAGAAAUUUCAAAAUGUCCGUAGGAAUAGGAGAAAACCUCAAGUGAGGAAGAAGAGUGUUACUAGUAAUUUUUAGAAAGAUAAGGGUGACAAGACUAAUGCGAGGAGCUCUAGUAAGAAAUCUCAAUCGAUUAGAUGUCACAAAUGUCAAGGUUUUGGUUAGUAUAGAAAUGAAUGUCCCAACUAUAGGAAGAACCUAAAUAAAGGAAAGGGUAACACAUUGGCAGUGUCACUAACUGAUGAUGAAACGAAUUCUAGUUAUCAGAGUAAUUCCUUUAGCAUUGAGGAUGAAAGGAACUAUAUGGCAUUUGCAUCUAUAAUUAAGAGUGAAUCAGAUUAGGAGAGUGAGAAGGUUGAGGAAGAGGAGCAUAGUGAGGACACUGAGGAAGACUCUAGGGAUGAGAUAGACAUUCAUGAGGCUCAUCAAUAGCUGUUUAAGGAGAGUCUUAAGAUUAAGAAGGUCAAUAAAGCUGUGUUAAAGAAGGUUAUUGAACUUGAGAGGGAGAAAGAGAUGUCAUAGCUGAUAUAAUGAGUUGAGACUUGACAAUGGAAAGUUAGAAACUAAGGUUAAGACAUUAACAAGUGAUAUAGGAAAAUCAACUACACAAUUUCAUUUCUUUUUAAAUGGCACUUAGAAACUUGAUAAUCUAUUAGGGAUGAAUAAGCCAUUUGGAAAUAGGCAAGGUCUAGGAUUUAUUCAAACUGAUAAUAAUUUUGCUAGUACAUCCUAGACCAACUUUGUCCCAGCUACAAACAAACCUAAUAAUGUUGUCAAUCCUGAACCCCAGGACAGGAAAGUCUUAGGACAGAGGCAUGCUAGGUCACAUAGGAGCAACCUACCUAGAAAGCAACAUCAGAAAUCACGUAGUUUUGAGCCUAAGUUUAUUCCUACAUCUCACAAUUGUGGCACUAUGGGACAUACAAGGCCUAGGUGUCAUAAAUUUGUGAAUAUGAUGAGAAGUCAAUAUAUCUAUAGCCAAGUUAACUUCUUUAAAAAUCAUGUGAGUUAGCUAACUGAGAUGAUGAUACAAUUGACUACGAUUACCUCUACUCUAAGAAGUUUUGUGCUAAGAAAAGCGAUCUCCCUAGAUUUGAUGAAAAACUGAAUUGUUAUGUUGCCCAUGUUGCAAUUAAUAAAGCUCAAAAUAACUCCAUGUGGUAUCUUGAUAGUACAUAUUCUAGGUAUAUGUUUGGAAAUAAAGCCCUGUUCUCUACUCUUGAUUAUUAAAAUGACGAUAUAGUUACCUUUGGAGAUGGGGCUAUUGUACCUAUCCUUGGUAAAGAUGCCGUCAAUAUAUCUAGACUAUAUCCCGUAUCAAAUGUGCUUUACGUGAAGGGUUUGAAGUCUAACUUGUUAAAAAUUAGUCAAAUAUGUGAUGUAGAUUAUGAGGUUAGUUUUGUCCGGAAAAGUGAUUUAUGACCCUAAUGGUAACGUUGUCCUCGAAGGGGGCAAGGGCUUUUGACAAUUGUUAAGGAGUCCUUUCGAAUUCCAUCUAUGAGUGUAGUGCUAAGAUUGAUGUGACUAAACUUUGGCAUCACAGACUUGGUCAUAUGAACUAUAAGAGUUUGUCAAAGUUAGCUAAGAAGGAACUUGUUGAUGGUUUACCUAUUCUUGAACAAAUUGAAAAUGUUAUAUAUAGACUAUAUCAACAUGGUAAACAACUUAGACUAAAUCAUAAACAAACUUCUAACAUCUUGACAAAUAGGCCUUUAGAAUUACUCGAUAUGGACUUAAGGGAACCAUCUAGGACUGAGAGCCUCAACAGUAAGCAUUAUAUUUUGUUGUGGUAGAUGAUUUCUCUAGGUACACAUGGAUUCAGUUAUUGAGAGAAAAAUUUGAGAUAUGUAGCCUCGUUAAAUCAUUGUACAAAAGAAUUAGAAAUGAGAAAAAUCUCACAAUAACUAGAAUUCGAAGUGAUCAUAGAAAAGAGUUUGAAAACUCUAACCUUGAGAACUUCUACUUAGAGGAGAGAAUCCAACAUGAGUUCUCUUCAUCCAUCAGUCAACAACAAAAUGGAGUAGUUGAGAAGAAAAAUCGUGUCUUUCAAGAAUGGCUAGGGCCAUGCUUUAUGGCAAGGGACUAACACCUGGGGUGAAGCCAUUAACAUUGUGUGUUACAUAGUGAAAAAGGGUUUACCUUUUACCUAAAGCUGGAAAGACACCAUAUGAGAUCGAAAAGAAUAAAAAGCCUACUGUCAAAUAGUUUCGUAUGUUUUUAGCAAGUGCUACAUUCUGAGAGAUAGAGAGAAAUUGGAAAAGUUUGACUCUAAGAGUGAUGAAGAAAUCUUUAUAGGUUACGCUAGGAAUAGUCGAGCUUGUCGUGUAUACAAUUCUAAUACCCGAGUUGUGAUGGAGUCCAUAAAUGUCGUAAUAAAUGAUGCUUUUAGUGAGAAGGAGAUUGGGAUGAAUUAGAUCUCUCGAGAGUAGAUCCGUCACAAUAGUUGAACUUAAAGAAAAAUCAAUUCUCGAACCUCCAUACUUACCUAAAGGUUUAGACACUUGUAAGGCACAAUCUCCUUGUGAUAAAUCAAAAACUCAUAGGGAACCUUCAUUCAAAGUUAAGCUAAUCAUCCUAAGUUCAACAUUUUUGGAGGUUUAGAUGAAAGGAAGAGACUUUGCGAGAAACAACCUAGCAUUUAUGAGCUAUGUAUCCCAGAUUAAGCCUAAGAAAGUAAAAGAAACCCUUAGUGAUGAAUAUUGGGUAAAUGCAAUGCAUGAGGAACUGAAUUAAUUUGUGAGAAACAAUAUGUGGUAUUUGAAUAUUUAAGAAUAAGAUCAAUGAUCUAGGUACCAUAACUAGGAAUAAAGUUAGGUUAGUUGCCCAGGGUUAUACUCAAGUUGCAGGUAUUGACUUUGAUGAGACAUCCGCCCCUAUUGCAUGUCUUGAGUCCAUUAGAAUUCUUUUUGCUAUUGCUUGUAACUUAGGGUUGAAACUAUAUCAAAUGGAUAUCAAGAGUGUCUUCUUGAAUAGAAUACUUUAAUUGAGUACUUCAGGAAGAAGUUUAUGUUUAACAACCAAAAGGGUUCAUCAACCCUAAGUUUCCACAUUAUGUCGACAAACCAAAUAAAGUAUUAUAUGGUCUUAAACAAGCUCAUAGGGCUUGGUAUGAUAAACUCAUUGCAUAACUGGUCGAACAUGAUUUUUCUGGAAGAGGUGCAAACAGAAUUUUAUUGAUAAGACAUUGAAGAAAUCAUCAUUAAGCAAAAAUUUAUGUCAAUGAUACCAUCUUUCGUUUUCCCAUUGACUCUCUUGCUGAUGAAUUCACAGAAUGCAUGAAAUGAAAAUUUCAGAUGAGCAUGAUUGGAGAAUUAAGUUACUUUCUUAGUUUCCAUUAAAGCAAACUAAUGAUAGGUUGUUUGUCUCUCAAUCAAUGUGCGCUAAAGACCUUAUGAAGAGAUUUGGACUAGAUAGUUAGAAACACAAUAGAACAAUCAUGAGCACAAGUGUCAAGUUGGUCAUGAUCCUACAUAAAAGAGUAUUGAUCAAAUACUAUACAAAAGUGUGAUAGGUAGUUUACUUUACCUUACUGUGUAGACCUAACGUAGCAUUGAGUGUUGGGGGUAUGUAUUGGGUUUAGGCCGAUCCUAAAGAAUUCCACUUGAGUGCAGUCAGGCGCAUCAUCAAAUAUAUAAAUGGAACCUCGGAUCAUCAAAAUCUUGUACUCUAGACAUUCUAAUCUUACCAGCUAUUUCGAUAUUGAUUGGGAUUGAAAUGUCAAUGAUAAAAAGAGCACUUUGAGAGCCGUUUCUAUGUUGGUCCUAAUCUUGUAGCUUGGAAGAGUAAAAAAAUAAAAUUCUAUCUCAUUAUCCAUAGUCGAGUUCGAAUACAUAGCUACAGAAAGUUGCUGCACUGAACUGCUUUAGAUGAACCAAAUGUUGAGUUAUUAUGGGAUUAAAUAGGGUACUAUGACUAUGUUUUAUGAUAACACAGUGUUUUUAAUAUUUUCAAAAAUCUUGUACGACAUUCUCGGACCAAACAUAUUGAUAUUAGAUAUCACUUCAUUCCAGAGCUUGCAGAGACCUGUGUUGUAUCUCGUGAGCAUAUCUCUAAUGAAAACCAAUUAGCUGACCUAUUUACUAAGCCCUUUGAUGGUUUUAGGUUCAAAUCUCUUUGGAAAGCUAUUGGAGUCUAUGUACCUCUUUGAUUAGGUACUUAGGUGUAUGCAUAUGCAGUUUAUAUGUCAUUCAUUCAUUCUUGCAUAUAUUUCAUUCUACGUGUUUUAUUUUGUCAUUGUUGUAUUUCCAUCACACACAAAAAUUUAACACUGUAGUGUCGUAUUCGAUUUACUCGAGUUUGCAUCUUGUGAUUGGGUAUGCAUACAACAGACGAAUAGUUAAAUAAUUUUCAUCAACUUAUUUAGGUUUAUGUGGAAUACUUGGUAUAGCUCUCUUCAUGUACCAUCUGCAUAGUACAUAUUAUGACCUUUUAAGUGAGUCUUGACUGCAUAUGUGAGAUUUAGGAUGAUAGUCAAUUGUUGGUGAGGCGACCUCGAACAUGAAUUGAUCUGUAACUAGAUUGACCUAAAACUCCAAUAUUUUUCCCUUGUUAGAAAAGCUGACUGGGUGUUAAAAAUUUGAAAUAUAUUACAAAAUGAGCUUUAUCUUAUACUCUUCUUCGGAGCUUAUUUGAUUCAAGCAAUUACACUUGAAAUGGUUAUAAUAACUUGGUGCCUCAGCCCAAAGCUUCUUACAUGAGUCAUCUUAGUCGCUUUAUGGAGAUCGGAUUACACAUAAGCUUCAAAAAAUAUAUAUACUUAUUGAUAGGGGGAGAGUGAUAUUUAUACACUGAAAAAUCGAUUUGACAUUUUUUAAGGUCCUAGUAGUGCUGGAGUUGACUUUCAUUAGUAGAGGAGAAUUCUCAUUCAAUAGUGAUUUUAGCAUGUCCUUUCUCACAAAUUUAAGGUUUGGACUCUUACUUAUGGUGAAUAAAUGGGACUUUUCAACCAUGGGCCAUGUAUACAAUUUACUCCAUUUAAUCUGAUAUGAGUAUGGAAGAUUUUCUAUUCCUUGGGUAUGCCCUACUUGCGACCAUUUGCAUUUUUAAGUUAUCGUACAUGUUGGAAUGCGCGCCAUGAAUUACAAAAAAUAAGUACACAAAAUGAGCACUAUAUUUCAAAAUUUUCAAAAUUUUGGUGCUAUUUUUAUCAAAGGGUUUUUCCAUGCUUGGCGCUAAGGCUCACUCGAGCGUCAAAAGUAGAGGCUCUGUUGCUAGCCUAGCGCUUGCCUCUAGCUCGAGCGAGAACCUUUUUAUUUGAUUGCCAUCGUGAAGAGCAAAAGUCAUUUUUUUACAUCCCGUCCAUUUUCUCUUAAUCUCCACCUUGUCUAAGGUCGUGCUAGGAUAUAACUCUUCAAUUUACAUGUUUGACAUCAUUCUUAGGAGCUCAUAACAUUGCCUAAUCCCAUUUUUCAUUGAAUUAAAGGUAAGAAAUUCAUUAAACCCUAGAUUUCUCCUUUUACCCAUUUUUUGGAUUUUUCUAUUGUUUUAUGUUUUUGGCAUCAGUUAAUUCAUCAUAUGGGUAUCAUUAUUGGAUUGUGUUGUGUUCUUCUUUCACAUUGCAUCACAAACAACCAAGUUUUUGAAUUUGAAGCAUUCACUAGCGUAUUAGGUUUCUAUAAGUCAUGUUUGAAUUUUAUUAUUUUUGAACUCAUUUUUUAUGGCAAAUGGAUAGAUGUAGUGUACAUAUUGUUGGGUUGUGGAUUGAUGUGUUGAGGUGUUGGGUGAACUGCAUUUCGGUUGGAAUGCCAUGCUCUUCGCAAGCACACCACAUGUUCGACGUAUUGUCUACUCUACCGAGUUGUUCACUUUUUGGCACAUGAUUAAUCACACACUUCAAGCACAAUCACAUUCAUAUCUAGGCAAUCACAUUGUACUUUUGCCUUGGUUCUCAUUGCAUUUGAUGUUGACAUACUAUCACCCAAGUUUGACGUCUCAUCACCCUAUGUCUUGAAGUCAUAUUAUCCUACGUCUAGGCAUCAUUUUAUUUUACUCUAGGCACCACAUUCGAGCACUACAUCCUAUGUCUAGGCAUCGCAUCACCCUUGCGUUCGAGCACCAUGUCAACUUCGUCCGUACAUUGUGCACCCUUUAUCCAUGUCUCACAUCGCUUAAGUAGUUAUUCAUGUCCAUAAGUGCUCUAGCCUAGCUUUUGCAUUAUUUUGUAUGCAUUGUUUAGUUUUUGAAUCGUUUUGCAUGCAUUGGUUAGUUUCUGCAUUGUUUUGUGUGCAUGAUCAGUUUCACGUUGUUUUGUGUACUUUGAAUAGUUUUUGCAUUGUUUCGCAAAAGUUGGACCGUUUUUCAUCGUUGUGCAUGCUUAUGAUAAUUUAUGUGAUACUUGUAGAUUAUAUGUGCACCAUGCAGCGUAUAUAUGACCUACUUGCCUUGUUUUAUGUGCAUCCAUGCAUAUCAUUAGUUAGUUGAUCAAAGAGGUAUAUAGUGCCAUUAUUUACAUCUAUUGAUAUGUUAAUGUUGCAAACUUAUCACAAAUGCCGCAUAAGAGAAUGAUGACUUCUACAUCGAUAUCCAGUGGGUCGACUUCCUAUAGUAGGUCUAUGUUCAUAUCUCCUACCAUCCAGGAUAUAUUCAGGACACAAUUCUCAUUGCGUUCUAUUCUAGUAGAGCGUAAGCUGAUCCUCUCUAAUCUUUCUCUUGACUUAGCUGUCAUAUUCACUUCACGUGGUUGGAGCCCAUGCUAGUAGAGUUGUUUCCUCUACCUAGUCCAGGAUUUCUAUACGAACAUCCAUGACAUUAGCGGGUCGACUUUUAGGGUCUUUCUUCGGGGUAAGAUGAUUAAGAUCACUUCAGAUGCCAUAUUUAGCACUAUCCACAUUCCCUGGGUUGUUCCUCCAUUAUUUCCCUAUUUGUCUAUUGACACUCUUCCGACUUAUUCUAUUGUCCAGUCUACUUUGUUUAACAACCCAUUGGGAGAGGGUGAAAUAGAAAUCCAUGCUGGAUCCCUACCUACAACAGAUUUUACUGUGCAUAGUGUGCACAAAUCUAAGGCCUGUCUCCCACACCUCAACCUUGCCCGUGAACAAGGCAAGAUUUAUAUAUUCCUUGCUGCAUGGUGAUUCUAUAGACCUUCCCUAUUUCAUUUGCUAUCAAAUUCUAUGUACUUUUAGUGUUAUGGAUAAUAGGAUUGAUCUUCCCUAGGCCUGUCUCAUUCAUCGCCUCGUAACGUCUAUUGGGGCUACUUUUUUGAAUGGGAUCAGGAGGAGAUUUCCCGACCUAUUGGCCACACUAUCAUAUCGUCGAGUAGAUCUCAUGAUCCUUCAUCCUCAGCUCCUUCUGAGCCAGCUAAUCAAACUGUGUUGGUUGAUCCUAUAGGUAGUUUACUGUCUUUUGAUCUAUUCAAUAUUCCUAUGUCUCAUCCUGAUAGUCCUCAUUCCUCUACUAAUAUUCCAUUAUCCUUUAAUUAGCUCCACCGCCUCUUGUUGAUUCUACCCUAUAUCUGCUUCUAUUAUUGUUGACCCCUCUGUAGUUCUUAUAGGAUAGAUGGCUGUGUUAAUUGAGCAGUGGGCUUGCAUGAUGCCUAAGUUCAUAGAGUUGCAAGCCACUACUGAGCAACACACCAUGGAGUUUGCUACCCUUCGUAGCACCAUCACGUAUAUACAACAUAGGAUUCAAUGGUUUUGUGAGCAUAGGGAUGACGAGGACGAUGGUGAUAAUUCUGAUGAGGCCACUGAUGGAGAUGAUAUUGCGGGUGAUUAGAUGUUAGGAAUCCCUUUGUCAUUUCUGACAAAAAGAGGAGUGGGAUUAGUUUAUUCUUUUAAAAUAUAAGUGUAAUUUUGAGAUGUAUAUGCUACUUGUGGUAUUGUUCUUUAUCUAGCUAGAUUACGUUAUGACGUUUAGCAAUAUCAAUGUGUGUUUUUGGUGUAUAGGCUGACAUUGAUAUUGCAUCUUAAUUUAUCUGGCAUGAUUUUGAUUAUAUUGAUAAUUGGCCUAACUAUUAUUAUUUAUGUUAUUUUUUAACCUGCUUUUACACUUGGUAUGUGAGUUGUGAUUUAAAAAUCAAGUUUGAUAAAGAAAAAGCAAGAGUCAGUUGAGUCAAUUGGUUUUGGGUAGAUCAGAUUAGUUGUCUUUGAUUUGUAAUGUAUGUUUUGUCAAAGAAUGUCAAAGGGGAGUGUGUUAGGUUUUAUAAUUGUUGGCAGUCUAUGGACAAAACAUAGUUGUAAAAAUGUUUAAAAAGUUGAAGAGUCAAGUGGUAGGUUAUAUUAACGAGUUAGAAAGCAUUGGGGUCGUCUACGGAACAAAGAAAAAGUUAUCGAAUUUUUGCUAGCCUGUUGUCAAGCUAUUGCUCAAGCAUCAAAAACAGUAAGCUUUUCUCUAGUCUAUUGCCUACUGUUGCUGAGCUCUCACUCGAGCAAUUGUGCAUCCCUAGAAACCCAUAUUAUACAUUUUUAAGUGACAUAUACUACCUAAGACAUCCAAACUAUAAAUAUCUGUGCCUAAAAAGUUAUCGAAUUUUUGCUAGCCUGUUGUCAAGCUAUUGCUCAAGCAUAAAAAACAGUAAGCUCUUCUCUAGUCUAUUGCCUACUGUUGCUGAGCUCUCACUCGAGCAAUUGUGCAUCCCUAGAAACCCAUAUUAUACAUUUUUAAGUGACAUAUACUACCUAAGACACCCAAACUAUAAAUAUCUGUGCCUCACUUCGAAAAUUGGUGGGUUGAACAUUAAAAGAAACUUGAAAUCACUUCUGUACUUACAUAAACUGUCAGUCCUCACUUGCUUGAGCUAUAUUAUUGAAAACAUCAAAUCUAUACAAACCGAACACCAAAACAUUUAUUUCCACAGAAUCUAUCAGAAUUUGAAUAUCAAGAAAGGUGAUUGGAGUUUCAAUUGUUGAAGAACGAGGAGUUCUUGAAAGAUCCACAAGAAAGACGAAUUUAGAAAGUCAAAGUUGGUGCAAGAGCAUGCAAUCCAGGAAGGCUUUGUUGAUUACGUUCAGGAGAUCAGAGAUUACUAGAGUUAGUCGAGUUUGGCAGUACUAGAAGUUGAUUUGUUUGUAGUGGAUUCAUACGGGCAUGGAUCCGGAGUUUUUAUUUCCACGAGGGGUUUUUUCGUCAACAAUUUUUCGAUGUUAUUUACUGUUCUUCAAUUUAUUAAACUUUGGUAAUUCAACAUAGGUUAGUGUACAUGUGAAUUCAUCUAGAUUGAUUAGUAAUUUUGAUGUGUUGCUUUUAUUAAUUGAUAAAUUUAAAUUCCAUAUAAACAAAUAUUCACUCCCUAGGUGUUAGUUGGAUCGAACUUCAUUGUUUUCAAAUAUAAUAGAACAUAUUGGUGGUAAAGUUAAAGAAGACUUGAGUCAAUUAUGUAUACUUUUGUUUCUCAUAUUGUAGUAACAGUCAUUGUUUCACUACAACUCUAUAGACCCAUAUUUUACGAAAUAGAAAUAAUUCUUAAGUUUAGCAUCUUACGUCAUCAUACCAGAAGGUUGGGAUCAAAAUUAGAAACAAAUUUUUACUACUCAUAAAAUGACAAAUGAAAGUCUUCUCAUGGUGGAAACGUUGUAGUUGUAGACAAAUGUAGUCUUUGAUAGGUGGGGAGGAUUGUGAAAAUUUGUUCCAUUUGCACAACUUUGCGAAAUGUGGUUACGAGCUACUAAGAAUUGCGUCUUUUACUUUUUAACAGUCAAUCAACCUGUUGAGUUUUGAUACCUAAUAAAUUUUGGGCAAUGAUGUUAAACCCAUGUUGGAUAAAUUAAAUAUCAGCAUCUAAGAUUGAUGACCCAAUCCUGAAACUAUUAGGGGGGCUUUUGGAAGCAGUCUAAUUAAUUAGCGUAUUUCAUGGCCUAGUUCCUCACUUAUUGAAUGGCUUGCUAUACUUGGCCUACUUAUCGUAUCUAUAUUGGGUUUUAGCCCAUCCUAAACCCUGACAUAUCCUAUAUAUGCUCUUCCCUUAUAGCUUUGUCAUUAAUGUGUCUUUUGCCCUUUUGUUGAGAGGAAAAUCAAGGUUGUUCUUAUUACAUUCUUUGUACCUUUGCCUUCUCUUUACCUCUAUGGCAUCGCCAUUGUGGCUACAAAACACUAUCUUUUUUGUGUCCUAAGUGGGUACAAUUAAAAGUAACCAAGAAUAGACUAAUUGAAGGGAUUGGGUCAUUAUUGUUUGGGUGUUUUGAUAAGGUUGAGAUUGGUAUACUGAACUCAAAUUCCACCAAUUGAAGAUCAAUUCUGCCAUAUUUGGUAUCAGAGCAGGUUCGCUACAAACGUUGCAUAGUUGGUGUACCUAAGACUAACAGCAUAUGUUCUUGCAGAAAAGAUUUUGUGACCGCCAACAUGUACCAUACCAAUUGGCAAGCAAGUAGAAUCGAUGAUAGAUAGCUUUGAGGAUGCUAGAUGUUGGGGCAUGCGUUAUACAGCUUGGCCUAUUGCAUGAACGUUUAUUUUGCAAGGGUGUGAUCAAGGCAUUGCUGUGGAACUUGAAUAAUGGGUACAUUUGUGGGUAUACUUUGACAUGCGUGAUGACGCAGCAGCCAGAAGAGCCGCCUUCUCAAGAACUAAUGUAGAGGUGCAUAAGGUAAAGGUGGUAUCGAAGGCGGCAUGUACGAGGUACUGCUGGAAGUGGUGUUGGGGAUAUUGUAGACGUCUGUACAUCGGGGGGGCAUGAUGCUACAAUUGUGGAAGAAUUUUUGGACCUACUUAUUUAGAGGGAGUAUGUAAUGUAUGGAGGGGCAAAAUACUCGUCCAUUACGAGGGCGUUAGCGGAUUGAGUGGAGGAGUGAGUUAUAGACCUAGAGAACUUCCCUACCUAUACUGUGGGCAAGAUUGCUUAUUGCAAGUUUGUUGCUAUAAUUUCAAAAAUGCACUAACGAUGUCCUUUAUGCAGGUAUAAUGACAAGCUAUCUACCUCUUUAUAUUGUGCUACUGUUGUAUAUCUUAGCUUGCUAGCCGCAUGACUGCCUUAGGUUGUCUCAAAACCUCAAAGGCUGAAUGGACAGUCCUUUAUAUGUUGUAUCAGAGCCAUGUUGGUGGUGGAAUUCAAACCAAAAUUUGACAAGAACUAAAGCAAAAACUAGCUAGAUCGAAAUUCCCUAAAAAUUCUCUAAAAACUGGACAUACAAUCUUAAUUUUCCCCCAAUCCAGGUUCUCUUUGGUGAAAUAAACUUCGAAUUCUUAAUCUGUAAGUGGAGCCGAUAUUGGGUGACAGUCAAUAGUAGAGAUGGUGCAUGGAGAUUCCGACAACGGCAUGUGAAAGUGCGUUCGACAUUAUUCUUGGAAAAUUUCUUCUGGCAUAAUAUUUCUAACGAUUUUAUGUUAGUUUUUCUAUUUCAGGUUAUACAGUGAAAUCUGGACAAUUUUGCCCCUGUGUAUUUGUGAAUCAACUUUUACUCGAUUAGUUGUUGCAAUUAUGGAAGACUUUAGGACGAUUAGUGGUGGUUCUAAACUGAUAAAUUCAUAUUUCUCAUAAUUUAUGGACUCAGAUUGGUCCGCUCUGGUAUAUUAGUUUAUCCCAAUUUAAAUUUCAACAUUAACACGUCAUCGUGUAGGUGACAUUAAGAUUGAAGCUACCGUGAAUGGGUGAUCUUGCUUGUGCUAGAAAUUUAGGAAUUACUUACUUUAUUUGAGGUGUUGUAUUUUGUGCAAGUCAAUAAUUGCUUCGAUGUUUGAUUGCCUAAUUUUGAAGUUUUUGUUAACAUAUCUUCAUAUUACAUUGAUUAUCUUGUUUGAGCACUUGUACUUGACCCAUUUGAACAUUCUCUUGAUCUAAGAUCGUAAGUAUUAUGAAAACACUGAAAAUUUAGAACGGUGUAUACUAUGGCCUUAGGAUUAUUUUGUGUGACCUAUUUAUGUAGUCUGGGUUUUCUCAAAAUGUCUUCACAUUUCAAAGUUGGAAGUUUCAAUGGGAAAGGGAAUUUUUCAAUUUGGCAACAAAAGAUAAAGGGAAUUUUGGUUUGACAAAAAGUUUCAAAACCAUAUAUGGCAAAUUUUCUGAAAAUUUGACAAAAGCACAAAAAGAAAAAUUUGAUAAACUUAUUUACACUUCAAUUAUAUUACACCUACCUAACACUAUUUUGAGAAAAGUUGGAAAACAUGUUUCUACAAAGAACUUUGGCAAAAGUUAGAGGACUUAUAUUUGCUUAAGUCUAUUCUUAAUAAGUUGUACUUGCUUGAAAAAAAAAAUUAGUUUUAAAAUGGAUCAUUCAAAGGAUCUUGAUGACAAUUUGGAUGUUCUCAACAAGGUUGUUCAAGACAUUGUUAGCUGUGAUAAAAUGGUGUCUGAAACGUUAUUUUUCUUAAUUCAUUUCCUGAUUCAUAUAGAGAGGUUAACAAUGAAAUUAAGUAUGGUAGGAACACCUUAACACUUGAAAUUGUCAUAGAUUUCCUUACGAGUAAGAAAAUUGAGAUUAAGAUUGAACAAAAAGAUAAGAGAAGUUGUGAGCUACAUAUGAGAGAAGUAGAAUGAAGCUUAAGCAAUGAAUUUGGGUAGAACUCAAAAUAGUAGUGAAUUGAGUAGUGAGUUGAGUGAUGAUGGUAAUGAGAAGAAGGGAAAGAGAUGGGGACAAGCCUAGUGGUAGACGGUAUUACAACUUUGGAAAGUUUAGACACUUCAUUAGGGAAAGUCCUAAGAAGAAGGAUAAUCAAAAGAGUAAAAUGAGAGGUGAGGGAAAUGUAGUUUAGGGUCGAGUGAUGACCUUAGUGAGGUUUAUUGAGAAUAAACCUAGUUGCUGCAUAUGCAUCUAUGUACAAUCCUCUAUGUAGUUGUGUGAUUACUUACUUCUGUUGUAUGAUUAUAUGCUACAUUUCAAUUUGUUUAAUAUGUGCAUUUUCAUGAACUUAAGAGUAAAUUGAUUACAUUAUGCAAUUGUUUUCAUAUGUAGUGGGUUGGGAUGAAUUAGUAGUAUGUGUGUUGUGUGCAUAUUGGUGAGGUAAAGUAUAGAUGCCUAGGGAUACAUUGUGAUAUGUACCGAGGAUGUGGGGUGUAAUAUUUGCAUCACAACUGGAGAGGUGAUUAAAUGUUGCAAUCAUUUAUCUGUAAAGAGACCCUGAUUAGGUGAAGAGUGAGAGGGACAAUUCUAUCAUUUCCAUUCGGUGGAGAUCCAGAGGAUUAUCCCUUAGACUUAGGAUCUAUCAUGACUUACCAAUUAGACAUAGGUAGAGUGAUCAAUCUAGUGAGCAUGAUGAGCGAUAAAACGAGGUAUGUAUUCUUGAGGUGUAAGCAACACGUAAUGGGAUAAGAUAAGUGUGAUGAGAUCUUUUCGUAGGGUUAUUAUGCAAUUAUUGCAUAUGUUUUGACUGUUUAUUGAUUAACUUAGUGUUAAUAUGUUGUUCUGUAUGAACUAUUUCGAAAAGAUCUGUGUGUUAUCCUAUAUUAUCUCUUCAUCAUAUUUUUAUUUGUUUAGUUGAUUACUGUGAAUAUUUGUUUUUAUUUGGACGUUCUUGAACUUAGCCUUGGUGAUUAUAUGGAGCAAGUAUGGUAUGUGUGGGUCCAAAACACGAGGUAAGGUUUGUGAUCCAAAUUUUAUUAGUUACCUUGAUCAUAUAAGUACUGACUAUAUGUUUUGAUUGCUUGUAGAUUUAUUGGGCAUUAAGGUUGAGAUUUAUUGGGUUUUGAUACCGAAUAAAUCUCGGGCAACGAUGUUAAAUCUAUAUUGGAUAAAUUAAAUAUUGACACCUAAGAUUGAUGACUCGAUCCUAAAACUAUUUGGAGGCCAUUGGAAGUAAUCUAAUUAAUUAGAGUUGCUCAUGGCACGGUUCCUCACUUAUUGGAAGGCUUACUAGAUUUGACCUACUUAUCGUGUCUAUAUUUGGCUUGGCCCAUCACUAUGCCCUAAAAUAUCCUAUAUAUGUUGACCCUCUGUAGCUUUGUCAUUAAAGGGUGUUUUGACCCUUUGUUGAGAAGAAAAUCAGGGUUGCUUUUUAUCACCUUCUUUGUGCCUUUGCCUUUUAUUGUCUUCUCUUUGCCCUCGUGGCACCACUUGUGUGGCUGCAAAACACCGUCUCUUUUAUAUCCUAAGUAGGUAAAAUUAAAAGCAAUCGGGGUGUGGAAUAGUUGAAGGGAAUGGGUCGUGAUUUCUUAAGUGUUUUGAUGAGGGUGACAUUAGUAUACUGAGCUCGGAUUCCACUAAUUGAAGAUCAAUUCUGCUACACAACCAUUUGACUGUAAAAAAUCAAAAAUUUAAAUAUCUUACUAUUAGUGAAUUAACUAUGCAUUAUUUGAGCAUUUUUGUUAACAGCACUAAUGAAGGGGGAAAAAAAUUAUAAAUGCACUUUAUGUUUAGUUAUGAAUAUGUGUACAACUAUAAACUAGGAAAAUAAAACAAUUGUUGUAAGUGUUCAUCCUAAAUUGGUAGCAAUAGCUAUGAGAGUAGUUAGUUGCUUCUUGUACUGGGAAUGGACACUUAAAUUGUAACGACACAGACUAUAAUAUUCCAAUGCAUUCCCAAGCAUGAGGUUUUUAACAUAAAUCUCCAAAAUACGAUAUUUAGAAAAAAAAAAUUAAAACAAAUUUUAUUUAAUCAAACUAUUCCCUCAUAACUUUUUUUUUUUUUUUUGGGUACAUAUAAACUUAGGAAAAUAUAGGAACGAAACAACUUGAAAUGAGAUUUCAAUAAAACACAGCAAGCUGGGACAACUUUCUACCCCUGCACACUGAGAUUGAAAAAAAAAAAAAAAAAAAAAAAAAAAAAAAAAAAAAAAAAAAAAAAAAAAAAAAAAAAAAAAAAAAAAAAAAAAAAAAAAAAAAAAAAAAAAAAAAAAAAAAAAAAAAAAAAAAAAAAAAAAAAAAAAAAAAUUGACCUAGGAAACCUCGCCUAAAACUUAUAAAGUUUUACAGGAAAGUAUAAAAAUCACAUAAGUACAACAUAUAAAAAUUGGGGAUCUCAACAACUACGUUUGAAACCCGAAAUUAUUUCCGAACAAGCUGGUCUGCGUUUCCUGGAUUUGACCGUGACAGUUUACUAAAAUUGUUAUAGUAAAUUCUACGGGACUCUGAUCAACCUAUUUUCAGUUGCACAUGAUAAAUAACUCAUGAGGGAUCAUUUUCCAAUUAAAAACAUGCUAAAAUUCUAAAUAUACCGACCAUAGCACCAUUUUAAAGACAGUGGCUAAAUUCUGAAAUUUUCUAAAACACCGGUUCAAACGUUUAAAAUUUUCUGUCUCAAAACAUGAAUUUAAAAUUUUAAACUACAAGUUUCUGGGACAUCCCAAGGAUUAUUAAACAUUAAGUGGCCAUUUAAGCAUAAGAAAUAAAUUUCUCUAAAAAUAAUGCAUGCCAUCCAUGACGAACCAUCAUUUAAACUCCGAUUACUCUGAAAAGGUUAAAUAGGAGUGAGCAUAUCAAAGAAAUACUCAGUAGGCUACAUGUACUAUAUGAACAUAAUAAUCAUAUAUUCAAUCAUGCAUUCUUACAUGUUGCCUCAAUAAAUAAGGAAAUCGAUAAUCAAACGAUCUACUUAAAGUUUUGAUGAGUCUCUACGAUCAUUAGUCUAACAUAUAUAAAUAAAGUUCUGAUGAGUCUAUGUGAUCAUCAGUUUAAACGUAUAUAAAUCUUUUCUUUUCGUCAAAAUGGAAGAGAAAUUCUAAAGCACUUCAUAUACUUCGUGAGCAAAUAUAACUAAUGACAUGCUUAAAUGAAAAUUAGAUUCAUAUAUCGACGACUUUGUGUAGGAAUCCUACCUUAGUUCGAAGUGAUAAGAUAGUGUUGAUGUCGAACGGAAUUCCUCUCCAAAUCUCGAACGUAAAACUGUUUUCCCCUUCUUCUUUUUUCUUGGUUCUGUCGUGUAUAUGUAUUUAAAAGGUUUGGUAUCCUAAUGCCCCCCAAGGCACAUCCAAGUUGGCGGAACAAUCACAUUGGGGGGCUCUGGAACCAAGUGUGGGGAGUUCGAUUCCUGGUUGGAGCAGCCAAGUGAUGUAAUAACCAGAGGAAGGGUUGGAGCAGCUUGGUGAUGUAAUAACCAUGGAGGAGGGUCCCUUUGGGGAAGGAGUAAAAGUCAUGUGGGAACCUGGGAACCAACAAGAGCACAACCUGCGAUUUACCUUCACUAGUCACUGAGGGGCUGGGGGUUAGAGGUCCAGGAUUUAGUCCGGCUAAGUUGGGACACCUGGGUUAUCAAAAAAAAAAAAAAAAAAAGGUUUGGUAUCCUAAUGUAAUAGAAAUUCCUACAAAAAAAGAGCCUAAAAGGGUAGACUUUUAUUUCCAAGUAACAACAUCCGGAUAUGUGUUAGUUAUACCCCCCCGCCCCGCUUUUUUUUUGUUAGCUAGUUUAACCGUACACGGAAUCCUAGCAGAAAAAUUGUCAUUUAUUGUUUUUUUUUUUUUUGGACUCUAAGUAAUGCAAAUGGAUAAUUGAUAAAACUAAUUUAACUUAUAUAGUGAUUCACGUGGCCAAAAUGUUAAUUUUCCAUUCAAAUUCAAAAGUCAAAAUCCAAUUAUAUAGUGAUUCACGUGGCCAAAAUUUUAAUUGCUUAAUUAUCAAUAAUUAAAAUAUAACUUCCUUUGCACUACAAUAAUGUGGACCUAACUUAUCCAAAAUAACUUUGGGAAGAACACAUGAAUCCUAUAUAUAAAAAUCAUAUUUCUAAACUAACAAACUUUCUAAAGCAUUUCAAAAUUCAGGUGAUAAAUCAAUUAAUUAAAUAUUUAAUUAUAAUAUAAUUAAUCUACUACAAAACCCCACCCCACCAACCACACCAAUUUUAAAUUCAAGCAAUUCUCUCUCUCCACCCCACCUCAACUCCUGGGACUACUCCGACAACCCACCCACCUCCGGCAACCUCUCCGACGACUGCUCCGACGAGUAUUCUGGCUACCCACCCUUUUCGGCGAUCGCUCCGGUUUCGACGAGAAUUUCGACGACGAUUUCGGCACCGGAAAAAUAUUCCGGCGACCGUUCCGACAACUAACGCUACACCUUUUUUCUUUUUUUUAUUUUAUAAUGAUCAGUGACCAGUUUCAUUAGAUUUGUGACCUGUGAGGCUGUAACCAAAUCUAUUAGAUCUAUGACCUAAUCAUGCAGGAUGAAUAUUGCAUAUGAUCAAUUUCAAAAUUAAGAAAUAAAAUUUGAAAUUUCAAAAAUCAUACUAUUAAAAUUAAUCAAAAAUAUUUUUUAAUUAAAUAUAUUAAAGUCAUAAAUAUAUACAAUUUGAUUACAAAUUAUUGAAUUAAUUGUUACAAACUAUUUUUUUUAUCACAAAUCAAAAAAUUUGUAUGUCACAAUUUAUUCAUUAGUCACAAUUCCGGCAACCUCUACGACAAAUAUUCCGAUGACCUCCGGCAACUACCUUUUUUCCCCUUUCUUCUUAUUUUGGCAAUGACCCGUGACUAGUUUUAUUGAAUUUGUGAUCUAAUCAAGAGGGAUGAAUAUGCAUAUAACAAGACUUGUGUUACAUGUGAUGAAAUUUUUUUUUUAUGACAAGAUCUAUGUUAUAUGUGACUAACUGUAAUCAAAUUUAUCUUCCGUGUGAUUGUAUGUGACCAUCUAAUUUAUAAUUGUAUAUAAGCAAGUCACUAGUUGUGUAAUAUGUGACUAAUUGUGACCAAAUUUGUAUUCAGUGUGACUAUUUGUGAACGUCUAAUUUGUGGUUGUCUGUAACCAAGUCACUAACAUGUAUUAUCUGUGACUAAUUGUGACCAAAUUUACCUUCAUUGUGACUGUCUAUGACCAGAUCAGUCUUUUAACUGUGACGAAAUGUGAUCAAGUCACAAUCAAGAUAGAAUUGGUCACAAUCAGUCACAAAUCACAAUUUUUUUAAGUUGAAACUUUUUUAUAGAUCAAAAUUAUUAAAUUAAUUGAUCACGACUUUUUUGGUCACAAAUUCCACAUUUUAUAGGCCACAACUUAUGUAUCGUCGGCCACAAAUUCUCAAAUUUAUUGGUCACAACUUCUUGCCAGUCGUAGAUUAUCAAAUUAAUUAAAAAUUCAUUUGUCCUCUAAUUUUCAUACUUCUCAGCAUCCUUUUUCCAAAUCUUUUCCUGCAUAUUCUCUUCAUUUAAGAUUUCAUAUUGUGGAUUCAAAUUCAAUAACAUCAGACAACGUUGAAGAAUAAAGAAAAGUAUAAAAAAAGAACUAAGAAAAUAGUACACAAUAAGUGCCAAAGACACAAUACUAUUCUCUGCCUAGAAAUUUAACAGAGACUUGCAUCAAUAGGUGUAAUUUUUCAUGCUAACAAGGCAAGCUCCUUCAAACAUUAAACAGACAUUGAGCAUAAAUUAAAAUCAAAUAAAAUAGUGUUCUAUUAAUGUAUUUCAAACGCAAACUACAAAGUUAUUCCAUGUAAUGUUCUGAAAAUCUUCUGUAACUCGAUUGCUUGUAAAAAGAGAGAAAGAUCAGUUUUGCAUCAGUAGGUAAGGUGUAAGCGCACUUACACCUGUAGGUAAGGUGUAAGUGCACUUACAGACAAACAUGAGGUGGGAUGAAAUUUCUUGGAUUCAUUUGCCGCUGUGACCAAUUAAUUUGAGGCCAUAUAUACAACAAGAACACUUAAUUGUCUUUACACCACUUUCCUUGACAUCUUCCAGCAAGUUGCAAGAAUAUGAUGUAAAAAUCGAGUUAACUACAGAAGACUACAAAUCUCAGUCUACACCACCGCAUAAAUGCUCUACAUACCAACGACGAAGACACCACAACCACCGGAGAUCACAUAUCGGCGACGAAGACAACACACAAUAAUGCUCUACACCGCGCAGAUCUACACACCGUGAGCGUCGUCGGCGGUGGCGACACCCUGAGCGUCGCCGAUGGUGGUGACAUAGUGAGCGUCGUUGAUGGUGGCGACAUCGUGAGCAUCACCGAAGGUGGUUUGUGAUAGAGAGAAGGGAGAGAUAAUUUAGAGAGAGAGGAUGAUUAGGGCUUCACCACCUCCCCAAAUUUUUCGAGCCCUUUAACAGCCCCGACCAUUACUGGAGAUCCAAACCAUAGCUGUGAGGCGACAGUCAGCGUUGAUAUGUCUUUAGGUGGAGUAGCCGUCAGCUGUUCUCACGGCGCCAUUGUGGUGGAUGUAUUCGCCGGAGUCGGGGAACUAGAAAACAUAGAGAGAGAAGGGGGGCGAGAGACAGCAAAUUGGGUGUGGUGUGUGGUAGUUAUGAAUUUAAUAUAAUAUUUGUUUAAUAAUUCUUAAUUACCACCUGAAUUAUGAAAUUAAACUUAACCUCCUUUAUUUAUGAAAACUAGUUUUUAAACUUAGGUUUCUAGGUAAUUUUCCCAAUAACUUUUUCUCAAGUACAAAAUUCGCCAUUUACUAUGAGCUUCGAAACAAGCCCAAUAUUAAUAUGAAAUUUCUAGCUAGAAGAAUACUUGAUUAUUUGACCAAAAGUUAAAAUUUUGACACUAAGAUUAAUUUUUAAAUUUGUCCCUUGGUAUCUCAACUGACGAAACAUGUCAACAUGAAAUAGAUAAAAAUUUAUUUUUGGUUGCUACAUAAAUGGCAAUUAUUCUUUCCUGUUGGUGUGUUUUUCAGAUGAUCGAAGAGUUUUUUUCUUGAUUUUCCUUUUCGCUGAUUAUUUUGUUCAAGAAAGAUGCAAUAAAAAAAAAUUUCUUGACAUUGUAUUAUUGGCCAUACAUGGCAAGGUAUACUUUUUAAUUUUUUUUACCCCAUCUUGGUGUUCAUUUUCAUGAUGCAAUCUAGCCAUUCUGAGAAGCUUCCUUGGAGAAUACCACAUUUCCACCCAUACUACAACGUGAGAAACAGUUGAUGACUAAUGAACCUUCCCAAAUGAUAUAUAUAUAUAUAUAUAUAUAUAUAUAUCAGAGUGCCUACGGCCGGCUCCCCCACCACCGGAGAUCGGCCACGUUGAAGGUACAUUUUUCGAGAUCAACACACACACGCACAUAUACACACAUAUUUUCAUUAUUUUGUUAAUGGUAUUUGGUGAGGGGGAGCUAGUUUAGAGUUUUUUUUUUUUUUUUAAUAUCGAGACUGCAUUUGAGACUGAUUAAUGAUCUAACAGGGAAAAAACUGGUGGAUAAUAAUUCCAAGUCAAAGUCUCCUCAUUUUGGUGGACAUAAUUGUCAGUAUAAAAAUGAUGGCUAACUUGCUUUUUUGUUCUAAUGUUGAUGUCGCCACUUACAAAAAGAUGUGCUGCAACCUUGAAAAUUCUAUUAAUCUAACAUUAGUUUGCACCAUUUUCCUCAGGUGGUCCCUUAGCUAUUGACAUUAUUGAUAGAAAAAUGUAUAGUAGAAUAUAGAAAUUAUUCAUUGUUCAUUUUGCAUUAGUUAGUCAAGGCUUGAUUGUAAAAUAUCAUGAAUCAUAAUUUCUGUAACAUCCCAAUAUUCUUAUGGUAAAUUUUAAAAAAUUGAGGGACUAAAGUCAAAUAUAUUUAGAUUCUUUUUUUUUUUUUUUUGGAUCAAAUAAUUAGAUUUUUUAUAAAACAAGCUUUAAUACAUCAAUAUUGGACUCUUUUUGUAGCUUGUAAUUAAUUAAGUAUUUCUUCGACUCGAGUAAAAUUUAAUUCGGAUAAGUUAGACCCAAGAUAUUUAAGUUUAAAGAAGUUAUUAUUUAUUAGUAUUUAAUUAAGUUGGUUAUUGAUUUUAAAGUCGUUGAUGGAACAUGUAUAGAUAACUUUUUUAUUUGGAUUAGGAAAAGAAAGAGAUAAUUGUAACACCGGUAUACUGCAUCGUGAGAAACAGUCCAUGAUUGAUGAACCUUCCCAAAAGGCAAUUGUUAUCUUCUCAAUUAAGCCCUAAACAUUGAGCAAGUGUGUGUGUGUGUGUAUGUGUGUGUGUGUGUGUGUGUAUAUAUAUAUAUAUAUAUAUGGAAAAAACGAGUGGAUAAUAAUUCAAUUGGUUGAAACACGUGUUGCUUCCGUCAAAGUUCCCGUCAAAUUAAAUGGCUUUAACAUUUUAAAAAUUCCAAGUCAAAUUCCCCUCAUUUUGGUGGACAUAGUUGUCAGUAUAAAAAUGAUGGCUAACUUUAACUUGCAUCUUUUGUUCUAAUGUUGAUGUCGCUACUUACAAAACGACGUGAUGGAGCCUUGAAAUUUCUAUUAAUCUAACAUUAGUUUGCACCAUUUUCCUUAGGUGGUCCCUUAACUAUUGACAUUAUUGAUAGAAAAAUGUAUAGUAGAAUAUAAAAAUUAUUUAUUGUUCAUUUUGCCAUUAGGUAGUCAAGACUUGAUUGUAAAAUAUCAUGAAUUUUAAUUUUGGUAACAUCCCAAAAUUCUUAUGGCACCUUUUAAAAAAUUGAGGGACUAAAGUGAAAUAUAUUUUAAAUUCGUGUGUGUGUGUGUGUGUGUGUGUGUCAAAUAAUUAGAUUUUUGAUAAAAACAAGCUUUAUUACAUCAAUAUUAGACUCUUUUUGUAGCUUAUAAUUAAUUAAAAAUCUUCUAGUCAAGUAAAAUUUAAUUCAGUUAAGUUAGACCCAAGAUAUUUAUUUUUACUUAAGUCAUUAUUUAUGGGUAUUUAAUUAAGUUGGUUAUUGAUUUUAAAGUUAUUGAUGGCUAACUUUUUUAUUUGGAUUAGGACAAAAAAUAGAGAUUGUAAUUCAAAUUUUCAUCAUGGCCAAUUAUGAUUUUUAUUUGACUAAAAUUUCAUUACUUUUCUUUACUUCAAUUCGAAUAUUAGUAUACUAUAUCGUGAGAAACCUUCGAUAAUUGAUAAACCUUCUCAAAGGCAUUUGUUAUCUUCUCAAUUAACCUUCAACACUGAGUAAAUAUAUAUGAUAUCAAAAAAAUUGUGCCAAAAAUGUUUUAGGCACCGUAUUUUCAAUAUUUUGUUAAUGGCAUUUGGUUAAGGGAGCUAGUUUACUGUUGUUUUUUUAACAUUGUGACUGGAUUUGGGAUUGAUUAAAGAUCUAACAGGGAAAAACUGGUCUAUUAAAACUUUAUAAUUCAAUGUUUUUACUAAUAGAUUGAAACUAACUUGCUUUUGUCAAAGUCUCCGUCGAAUUAACCAUUUUAGUAAUCCCAAGUCAUAGUCUCCUCAUUUUAGUUUGCACCAUUUUCCUUUGGUGGUCCCUUAAAAAAAAUAAAAAAUAAAAUAAAUUCAAUCAAUCAAUCAAUCUAAAUGUCUUAUUUGCUAUCUGGAAUUUAUAGGAAAUUUCCUAGAGUUUGGACAAUAACUUAGGGACGAUAUUUUUAUACAUUGAAAAAGUCAUAAAAAUGAAUAGUAGUAGUUCCAGUCAAUCAACUCUACACCAAGUUUAUCCUUUAAAAAGGGAUGCUACCAAGGCUAAAAAUCCACCAAGCAACAUAUAUAGGAAAUUUUUACAGCGCUGCUAAUAACUCAGAUAAGCCAGAAUUAGUGUGUUCAUAAUUAAGAAAGAUGGGAAUAAAGUUACGGGUAAUGUUAGUGAUGAUGCUGCUUUUGUUACUAAAUGGACGGUAUUGUUUAGGGUAUUGGGAGGAAGAGAGGGUUGCUCUUUUGCACCUCAAAGAAAAUAUAAACUUUCCAAAUGGAGAAUCGCUACCUUCAUGGGUGGUGGUUAAUGAGAUUGGAAUUGACUGUUGUCAAUGGCAAGGGGUUGAAUGCAGUAACACAACUAAACGAAUAAUCAAAAUUAAUCUUGAUGGUGCUAGGGAUUUGAACUCUGGAGAUUGGUAUUUUAAUGCCUCUCUAUUUCUUCCCUUUCAAGAGCUCAGAAUUCUCUCUUUGUGGGGGAAUCAGUUAGUUGGUUGGAUUGAGAAUGAAGGUAUGAUGACAUCUCUCCUUAAUUAGGUAGCUUCAAUUUUAUCAUUCCUAUUUUGUUUCAGUGAUAAUUAUAGAUACGUUGAGCUUUGUUGUAGGUUUUGAUCAAUUGUCAACGUUGAGAAAUUUGGAGACCCUUGAUCUGGGGGACAAUUCAUUUGAUCGCAAAAUUUUGUCAUCUCUUAGUCAGCUUUCUUCACUCAAGCUUCUGGGACUUUGGGGCUGCUUUUCAAAUAGAGAAAUUUACGGCAAUAGUAAGUUCAAUAUACUUCAUAUUCUGGUGGUUAUUUUGUAGAUCAUGUAAUUACCGAAGAAUCAACCCUUUAGAAAAUAAAUCAAGUUAUUAUUAGAGCUUGUUUGGGAGUGAUUUUGAGAAUUGAUUUUUUGACCGUUAGGAAAAAGUGGGGUCCACCUGUGAAAGAAAAAGUCAAAUAUGACGACUGAAAUAGUGAAAUAACGAUCAAAAAAUAAAUUUUUUGGGUGAAAAAAUCUGGCCCAAACAGGUUCUUAUUAAACUUUUUUUUUGUUGCAGAAUCAGAUAAGCGAUUUUCCUAAACCUUUAAUUUUCUCUAUUAGAAGAGCAGAUCAAACAACCAAUUUAACCUUAUUAUUGUAUUAUGAGAAAAAAGCAAAGAGAGUAAAUAAUUUUAAAAUACAGUAACAGUAAAACGCUUUUAUGAAGAAACAUAUAAGUUCAAGAAUUUUUGGAGUGAAGACAAGUUAACAGAGUUCCAACUUUCAUUAAUUCUAUGAAUGCAAAAACAGAGUCCAUCGAAAAAAACAAUACAAAAGCCAGAAGCUUAACUUGAGAUUUUAUCAUUAAUUUAAGUUGUCUGUAAAAAAGAAAUCUUGGUUUCGUUUUAGAUAAAUCUACUUACCGUAGUGUAACUUGAAAAUUAUGCAAAUUGCUCUCCUAUUACAUAAAAACAUUGGUCAUUUGUUCCUUCCUAAUAAGUUUAGCAUUACUAUUGUAUAUGUUAAUCGUAUUGAGAUAUAUAUUAAUUGUGCAAAUCAACCUAAGUAAUUCCAAUGGAAAAGAGUAAGGGCAUGCUUAGUAAUUGAAAGUACAACAAAUAAGACAUUUUCAUCUUUAAUAUUCAAAUACUCCUUACCACAAAAGCAAUAAUAUUAUUUUCAUGAUUCUCGUCCAUUAUGAUUUUGUUUCAAGUCUUAGUAGAUUGAUGGAACAGUAGCCAUAAUAUUAUUUAGCAUUUCAUUAUGGAAUACACCUUUCUUUUUGUUUAAUUAUUGUCUCUGGGCAUCAUUUCAAUGUUGAAUAGCAUUGAUGAAACAUAUAAUUAUUUUUUACUAAAAAUCAUUAUGUAGGUCGUGAAAGACUCUUCGGAUUAACCAAGUUGGAAGUUCUUAAUUUUGCAUCUAAUCAUGGGAUUAUCGACGGUGACAUUCUAUUAGUGCUAAGUGAGUUUUCUUUCCGCAAGCCUGAUAUAUUGCUUUUAGGUCAUAGGACCUUUUAAUAUUAUUUUUUUUUUUAUUUUUUGUGUUUUUCGAUAGAUCUGAAUGAUUUUAUCAAUUUGAAGGAGCUCGACCUAAGUCAAAAUAAACUUAGAAGCUUGGGUACCAUUUACGGUAUAUCAUCUCAUUUCAUUCUUUAUCCUCGUUCAUUUUUAGUUUCCUUUUCUUUCAUUACUUCACUUGUGCCUUAUUAUGUAAGAGCAAAAGCAUUCAUGGUGUUUUGCUCCCAAGUCCUUCCUCUCGCUAAAUAGUAGUUUGUGGUUUAUUAUAUAGUAUAUUGUAACUUAUUGUGGAUUUGGUUAUACAAACAGGUCUAAAAUAUUUGAAGGUCCUUAAUUUACAAUCAAAUUACUUCAAUAAUAGCAUUUUCUCCUCACUUCAUGGGCUAUCAUCACUCAAGUCUCUAGAUUUCUCUUACAAUAAACUAAAAGGAACCAUCCAAAUGAAAGGUUAGUUCCAUAGUUUAGAGCUCCUUAUUUUUCUUAUUUUUAGUCAAUCGAAACUGAGUUCUCAAUCAUCAUUUUCAUAUUUUGCUUGUACAUGUUUAUUUCUCCACCUCUAUCAAGAUUUACGGGCUUUGAGUAAUUUGGAGGAGCUUGAUCUAAGUGGCAACGAGGUCGACAACUUCACGACUCUAAAAGGUACUCAACUAGGUUUUUCAAGUUUAUAUUUUCUAAAUAAUGAACUUCGAUACGCUUAUACUUGAAUAUUACCCUAGACAGUUCUACGUUUCAGGCAUUAAAAGUAUACAUAGUCUCCAAGUGCUAAAAUUAGAUUCCUUAUAUCUCUCCAACAUUAGCAAUAUGGUGCAAUCUUUGAGGGCAUUCUCUUACCUCAAGCACUUCUAUUUUCGGCGCAAUUCUG